UAUAACCUCCCUCCCAAACCCUAAUUCAGUUUUCCCUUUGCUCUUUUCAAUGGCUGAUGUUGAAUACCGGUGCUUCGUCGGAGGUCUUGCAUGGGCCACCGACAACGAAGCUCUCGAGAAAGCCUUCUCUCAAUACGGCGAGAUCGUUGAUUCCAAGGUCCGUUUGUUGCUUGCAGGCUUCGGAUCGGAUCUGACACGAUUUUGAUUCGGAUUUCUAUGGAAACCUUUCUGAUCUGUGAUCUCCGAUCUGUUCUGUGUUACUUGUUACUCUGUUACUUGAUCUAUUUGUUACUGUUACUGUUACUGUAUGAUUUGAUUCUUUUAUUACUCACUCACACCAAUAGGUACGUUCAUCUUCUUCUUUGAACAAAAGUUGAAGAUCGAUCGGUUACUAUUCGGUUCUAGAUCUAUGGAUCUGUUUUUUUAUUUGAGAUUUAGGGUUUAGAUCUGAUUUUGUUUGUGUUUUGUGCAGAUCAUUAACGAUCGUGAAACUGGACGAUCAAGAGGUUUUGGAUUUGUGACAUUCGCUAACGAGAAAUCCAUGAACGAUGCCAUUGAAGCAAUGAACGGUCAGGAUUUGGACGGACGUAACAUCACUGUGAACCAAGCUCAGAGCCGUGGUAGCGGUGGAGGUGGAGGAGGAGGCCGUGGUGGCGGUGGUUAUGGAGGUGGUGGCGGUGGAUAUGGUGGAGAACGUCGUGGUUACGGUGGAGGUGGUGGAUACGGAGGAGGAGGUGGUGGUGGAUAUGGAGAACGCCGUGGUGGAGGCGGUGGCUACAGCAGAGGAGGUGGUGGUGGAGGAUAUGGUGGUGGUGGAUACAGCAGAGGUGGAGGUGAUGGUGGUUAUUAGGUUUUAGAUUUGUCGUUUAUGAUUAUUAUACUAGAUGUUGGGAUCUAGCUCUGAAAUUCUGUUUUUGUCACUGUUCUGUUAUGGCUUCGUUUUGAUGUGUCUUUUAUUGGUGUAUCUCUGAAUUUGAUUGUGUAUAACGAUCAAUUUAAAGAAGAAAAAAAAAACUGAGAUAUUAGUUGCACCAUAUUUUCUGUGUUUUAUUAUUCGUUUUUUUUUUUUUCUUCUCAUUUUUGCCUGCCGAAUAUUUAAAAAUAAUUUUAUCUAUAAUCAAAUCCAAUCUAUUAUGAAAAACACUUUCCCAAGAUAAUCGAUAAAUAUGAACAAUGAGUUGUGACCUAUAAUUAUAAUGAUCUUUUAAUUUUUUUAAUUUGGGUAAUGAAGUCAUCUGUUCAUUUUAAAAAGUUUAGAAAAAGAUGUGGUUUCAUGAUUUCCAAUUUUUUAGUUUUUUCCUCACCUGAUUACUUAGAUUUUGCGUUACACGAUUUGAUUUUUUGUUUAGACUAAACGGCCAUUCAUUGCAAUUGUACAUAUACAGCUUGUACUUAUACGAUUGAUAUUAGAACUUCCAAAUUCUGAUUUCUGCCACCAUAUAUUUAAAAUGGUUUAAUUGCACUUUUGAACUGUUGUGAUUUCAGACCUUAUCAUCCAUUAUCUGUCCGUCUUGUAGGCUUUUUAUUUAAUAUAUCUUGUCAAAGUAUUAAAAUUUUGUUAUGGGUACAAUGAAUUUUAAGAAAUUUUCAAUCUGAAACUGAUUUUAAUAUGAAGUUUUGUGACCAUGGAUACAAUAAUUAUGUUGGUAAGACAAUCAAAAUCCCUGCUAUGCUAACCUUUGUUAUGGUUGUUUCCAACAUUUUCAAUAUGAGAGGAAUAGGGUGAAAGAGGCAUAAUAGAUCCGUUUAAGAGGGAAAAAAAAUGCUUAAUAUAUGCUUUGGUCCCUUAAAUUAUUUUUGGUUUUCAUUUUGAUCCCCUAACUAUAAAACGUCUCAAUUUGGUCCCAUAAGUCUUCAUCCGUUUCUUAAUGUGGUCCUCUGCAAUUUUUUGAUGUGAUUUUAACCAUUUGAUUGCAUGUACAUUGUAUCUAAUAGUUAACCGUGAGCACCUAAUUUUUUUUCAUUUCUUUUCAAAAACCUAAAUCCUUUCUCUGUAAUUGAAACUAAAAUUCACAAAAAAUCACAACCUUAGAUUUACAACAUCACAAAAAAUCACUAAUCAAAAUAACUCAAAAAUGAAAUCUGAUUUCCAACAACAGUCACCACAAGAGAAGAAAAAAGAAUUCAUCCUAAUUUCUUUAUUCUCUUUAAACCCCCCAUUUUUGGUUCUGAAUCAAUCAAGCAAUAACCAUUUCUUCUUCUUCUAACGAAUUUGAUUCAAAAUCCAGAAAUUCGAUGAUCUAGAACCCAUAAAUUCCAUGAUUCAAAAACAAGAAUCUAUCUAUCUAUAUAUACAUGUAUUCUAACCUACAUUUUACCUAUGUGUAACCUCACAAACAUCCCCCUUUCUAACUAUUUCCUUACAUGCAUUCUCUCAUUAUAAGCAAGACUUUGCUUAUGUGUCACCUCACCAAUAAUUCUUAUUUCUUAUAUGAAUUUUAGUAUAUUAUAUGAAUGAAUGCAUUCUCCUAUGAAAGGGUUAUAAUAUUUAGUGUGACAUAAAUAUUUUUAAACAUGUAACUGCCACAAUCCUUCAAAACUAUGCAAUUUCUCAACAAAAAAAAACAUAUAUGCAACUGCUAAAUGCAGCCACGAGUUAUUGGCCAAAUGAAUUGUAAAUGAAUUGUGAUUCACUGAUUUGUGACUCCCAUGAAUUUAUUGUGGCAAUCUAUGUGCAAAUCCCAUUUACCAAAAAUCAUUUGCUAAUUUUUUAAUUAAUAAUUACCAAAACUUGAAUGAUUAUGGUGUAGUAAUGGUCAGUUACACAUCUUACUUAUUACCUUUAUUAUAAGCGGCUGACAAUUAUAUGGGUAACUCCUUUUUACCAAAAUUAUGUACCUUUAUUUCUUAUUGUAACUCCUUAUAGGUUACGGUUUUAAUAUAUCAUGCCACACAAAAGCAAUGGUCACAGUAAACAAGGUUCACAAUUUUUUUAUUUGUAUCACCAAGAAUGCAAUAUAAAUAUAAAUAAAUAAAUAAACAAAUUAGAAUUUAAUAGAAGUAAUGAAUAAUUUCGGCCAAAAUAUGUUCAUCCUUGGUUACAAUUUCAAUUUGUGCCUCUUCGCAUUCCUUCACAUAAAGCCUAAAAAUUUGUUACACUUUAAACCAUUUCAAUGACAGUAUUUCCCACACACCUAUAUAACCAGCAUUGGUGUCAUUCCUUUUCCACUCAUUCUGUCACAUCUAUCUGUGUAAUUUCAUUUCUUCCCACAUACUCUCUUUGCUUCCCUACCAUGUCUGCCAUUGAUGUCAUUGGAACCAAGUAAACCACUUUCUUGCACUUUUCCUCUACCAUGUUAAAUAAAACCUUUAAUCUAAUCUUUUUUCAUGUUCUUUACUUUUACAGGGUCGGAGAAGUCAACAACAAUGGUGUGCAUACCUUUCUCAACAAACUCUCCAAUGCUGCCCCUGAUACCAAGAUCAAAGUUAGGGUAGCACGCAUGUGGGACACGCUGAAUAUAACAAAAAAAAAGGAAAUAAUUAGUACAGAUAUGGUGCUAAUUGAUGAGAAGGUGUUUAUCAAUGAAAUUGCUAUAUUGUUGUUCCUUCGCAAAUAAUCUUUCUUUACUUACUAUUUACAAAUGCUUUCUAGGCAAAUUGCAUUCAUGCUACAAUACCAAGGAGGUUCUCACCUUCAUUGAAGAAAGUCUUGCAAGAAGGCAAGAUAUAUGUAAUUUCACACUUUGAGGUCUCAAAAAACAAGGAGAAAUAUGCUGUGGUUGAAAACAAUCCCUCCAUGCUUAGUUUCUAUGGUGACGCAAUUGUGACUGAGGAGGGCUCGGAUGACAACACAAUCCCUCGCUAUAUCUUUGAAUUUGUUAAUUUCAAUGAUCUUAUCAAACGUUGCGGGAAAGAGGUGUUGGCAGGUUGGUUUAGCAAAAUAUUAAAUUAUAUGUAAUACAAAUCUAUUACAUUGUGUAAAGAAUGUAACACUUUUGUUUCUCGACAGAUGUAAUUGGAUUUAUAAUUGAUGUGGAUCCAAUUGAGGAGAAAACAACCGUCAAUGGGAAAGUCGACAUGUUGUCACUUCAUUUGGGGGAUGGCAGGUGCAACAUAAUUUGUUCCCCAUGAUUUAAUUCUCAUUUAGUAGCGUAUAACACAUUUACCACAAAAAUCAAUUAACAAACUUUUUAAUCCUACGCAACUUUUGGCAGUGGGAAUGUCUUGAAGGUAACGCUAUGGGAUGACUAUGCUCCGAUGUUUAAUCAAAAACUGAUAGAUCAAAUGCAUGCUACUCCUAAGCCAAAUGUGGCAAUUUUUACCUCCACUUUGGUAAAACAAUACCAAGGUAACUGCUCAUACCAUGACAUUUAAUAUUCAACUUAAUUACCCUCUCCUCAACCACUCCAUAUGUGAUAUAUUUUUGUAGGUGAGCUUUAUGUUUCGUCUUCAAGAUCCACAACAAUUUAUAUCAACAUAGACACCCCUGAAGUUGCUGAUCUAAUUUUGUCGUCCAAGUGCGUCAUUUAACUCAUGUUUAAAUACUUAUGUUUAUAUUAUGUUGCCUAUUUUCUAAUUGUGUGUUGUUGCAUCGUUGUAGGGGGAAAAACAGUGUUUUGAAAACAACUGAAACUUUGUCUUUAACUAAUGUUGAUGUGAAGACCAUAUCUGAGCUUUUAUCCAUGGCAGUUUCGGGAGUUUAUCAGGUCAACACUUGGUUAAUUAUUCUCUAGACCUAUUUUUUAUUUCAUUAUCACAGUGUGUCAUACACUCAUACUUUCAACUUUACUUGCAGGGUGAUGUUGUCUACAAUUGUGUUGCAACAGUUGAUGACAUCCUGCUAAAAAAUGGGUUGUAUUAUGUUUCUUGCCCUCAUUGUAGGAAAACUGUGAGUUCCACUGAGACAGACUUCAAUUGUGAGCAUUGUACUAAAAAGGUCGACUAUCCAAAGAUUAGGUGAGUUCAUUUGAAGUAUUUUUUUUCCUUAUCACAUGGCCUUAAAUAUAUAUAUGUUGCUUGAAAUAAUUACAAUGAAUCUCUAUAGGUACCGUUUGGAACUUCAAGUCAACGACUCUACGGAAUCAACAAUAUUUGUGUUGUUUGCCGAAGUUGCUGAACAAUUGGCACAACUAAAGCUAGAUGACCUCACCCCGGAUUUAGAAAAUGUGUGUUACAUUAUAUCCUAAAUCUAAUAUGGUGUUUAUCGGUGUUUUUUUUUUAUUAUUGAAAAAAUAGAAUAAAAGUUGAUUGUUUUCUAAACUUACAUUCCAUUCCUUUUUGUUUGGAUAGCAGACUGGACGUGACUCUGAUCUGCCUAAACAGCUCCAGCAUAUCAUUGGUUCAAAGCAUAUUUUUCAAGUUAAGCUGAGCUCUUACUUUGAACGUCGUGGAGUACAAAGCUUCACUGCACAUAAGAUUCUGAAGCCAGUUGUUAAGGUGUUUAGUUAUAUCAUGUUUCCAUUCUUUUAUUCUUCACUGCUGGAAACCAUUAUAUACUAAAUUUUUGAUGUAAUUUAACAAAUAUCAGAUUGAGAAAGAAGACAACAUUGCCACUGCGUGUUCUUCCUCAAGUGGAUCUCUUACCAUUGAAAUACCAGAUUUGCCGAAGAAGAGGAGAAAAUUAAUGUAAGAUGUAUCAUUGUCUAAUGCAUUUAACCAUGUAUAUAUGUAAGCUAUAAAUGUGAGCUAAAAAAAACUUGCGGAUUUUUUCAGAUUGCACUCCAACAAAUCAGGUGAUAAGGACCAGAAUGAAGAUGUGGAAGAUUUAGAAGAUUGAGAAGUUGGCUGCUAAGGAUUUAAGAGGAUUUGCUUUUGAAGUUGUUUUUCAUGGUUUAGUUUAUGUUUCUCUAAUCAAUAGAGAUGUGGAUUUCAGUUUAUGUUUUUUUGAGGUUGUGUUUUUUUUUUUUUUGAGGACUUUGUCUUUUUUGUUUUUAACCUAGACUACAUUGUUGGUUUAUGUUUUUUGGAUGUUGUGUUUUUUUAAGAAUAUUUUCUUUGGAUCAAUGUUACUUUGACCUAAAUUAUAUUGUUGGUUUAUAAUGUUAUAUUGAGGGAUUUUGUUGUUUUUAAUGCUGACCUAUAUUUUGAAGACAAAGAUUAUGCAUCUAUAUGUUAAGGUGAAUGGUAAUCAUGUUUUCAUUCAUUUAUUGUUCACUUAAAAUAAUGAAAUACAUAAUUCUUAUGUGAUUUUACAAAUUUCAGAUUGAGAAAGAAUACAACAUUGACACUAUAUGUUCUUCCUCAAGUGGAUCUCUUGGCAUUAAAACGCCAGAUUUGCAGAAAUUAAUGUAAGAUGUAUCAUUGUCUAAUCAUUUAAGCGUGUAAAUAUGUAUGCUGAAACAACACUUGGAGAAUGAUAAAAAUUGCACUCUGGCAGCGAAUCAGGUGAUGAUGACAAGAUGGAAUAUUUAGAAGAUUGAUAGCUUGGCUGCUAGGGACAGAGGCAGAUGGAAUAUUUAGAAGAUUGAUAGCUUAGCUGCUAGGGAAGGAAGAAUGUUUGCUUUUGAAGUGCUUUGCAUUGUUUGGUUAAGGUUCCUCUAAUAAAGUUGUGGAUUCCAACUAUGUUGUAUUUUGAAAACUCAUGUUCCCAUGUCGAGGAUGUUAAAAAUAUUAUUUCCUUUUGAAGUGCUUAGCAUUGUUUAGAAAACUAAUUGUAUUUAGUAUUUUAAGCUUUGCAUUGUUUGAAGUGCUUUUCAAACUAAUUGCAUUUUUAAUAUUAAUUUAUAACAAGAGGAACAUGAGAACUGUUUUUUAUGAUAUAGUCUUUUCAAUUAUUUUUCUUUGGCCUAAAUUACAUUAUUGGUUAAUGUUUAUUUACAAGUUUGUUGGUUUAUCUGUUUUUCAUCAUAAAUUUACUGAAUCUAAUGCCAUAAUAAUUACACAAGUUGUAUUGAGACAUAUCAAAUUAACAAUGACACAAAUAUAGAUAGAUAGGUUCUUCCUCAAAAAAAAAAAAAAAAAAAAAAGGAUAAAUAAGUUUUUUACAUGGGCCAACCAAAAUAAAAUAAAAUACUAACUUAAAUAUUAACAAAAAGUGCUAAUCUUUAUUAAGAUCCUAUUAUAUUCUUUAUACGUAACUAUAAAUUACUACCACGUUAAUACCCAAAAAAAAAAAUAUUAUUACCUUUUGCCAAAUAACUAAUAAAAUACAAAUACUCCAUCAAUGUUAUUUGAGCUCAAUUCCAGUUGUGAGUUCUUACAUUAACAUGUGAUAGACAAAGGGUGUGUUAGUUAUUAUCCUUAUAUUAUUAUAUACUAUACUAUUUUUUUAGACCAUUUAAUUAUGGUUGAUGUACCACAUAUUGAAAGAUUUAUAAUUAAAAUUUACAUUUCAAAAAAUCAAAGAAUAUAAAACAUAGUGAAAUGUAAUUAUACUUUCCUCAACUUAGGCAUAAUAUUGAUAUAUAAAUAAGUAACUAAUAUUUACAAGUUUUUUUCCAAUGACGUUAUAUUUAUAUCUAAAAGCAUGAAAUAAUAUAAACAUGUUCAAUUUUAUAAUAAUAAUGAUAAUAAAAUAUUAUUGUUCUUUUUGUUGAAAUCAAAUUAGUUCUACAUUAGCACACAAAAAAGGAACAUAGACAUACUAAUGAAAGAUAAAAAAGAAAAAUUGUCCUUUGAGUAGAAGUAGCACACCUAUUUCAGCACAAAAAAAUAAAAAUAUACAGCUACCUAGACAUACUAAUGAUCAUCGUAUUAAUUACUUAUUAUUAUUAUUAUUAUUGUUAUUAUUAUUAUUGUUGUUGUUGAUGUAUCCAUUAAUUUUUGUAACAUAUCAUAUUAUUAGAUAUCAAUUUUUCAUCUGCAUAACAUAAAAAAUCAUAAAUGUUGCAUAAAUAAUAAAUGCGUACAUGUAUUCUAAGCUACAUUUUCCUUACAUGUCACCUCACCAAAGCUCUCCCUUUGUAACCAAUCUCUCAUACUUAUGCCAUGUGGCUCUCUAUUUCAUUUUUUAGCUUUUUUCUUUCAUUAUUAUUAUUUUUUGGUAGAAUCAUUCAUCUAUUUACUACACAUUUAUUUGUAUAUAAUAUUGAUGUUGAUACAUAUUCAGAUAGUUCUUCUAUUAUGUAACUUCUAUUAUGUAACUGUCAAUUGUUCCACCGUCCAUCUUCUUUUAUUUUAUUCAGGUUUUUAAUUUAUUAGCUAAAACAAUAGGAUCAGAUGAACACAUAGUCGUAUUUCAACAUUCAGAGGUGCUAUUUCUAAAAAAGUUAUUUCAUUGAGCAGAGGUGCUAGGAUUAGAUCAUCGUUUUAUUUUUAUUGUUUUUUUUUUUUUCCCCGUCCAUCUUUUUUUUCUUCUAUUUUCUACAUGAUCUAUAUAUUUAUUGACUUCUUUAUCAUAUAAAUUGAUGUGGCUUUGUAACAUCAAAUUCUCAUACAAUAUCAGCAACUAAAACAUUCAUGUCACAGUUCCUUCUUUCGCUGCUUAUAUUGUUGGUUCCUACUCAUGCAAACAAUCAUGUCAAGAUUAUAUAAUAUUGUAGUUUAGCUUCAUGAUUACUUACAUGUUCAGCCAUGGUUGCCGCCUCUUACAUUCUCACAUCCAAUCAGAAUACUUUGCUUCUCUGUUCUCACAUCUAAACUGAACCGCUGACACCUGUGUUCUCUUUCUUCAACCUUCAUUCCUUUCUCGCGUCUCACCACCCCUGCGUUCAAUACGACAACCUCCGUUAUUUCUAUUUUCGUUGUAAAUAUAUGUUUUGUUUUUAUUCUUUAAUCAGUAAAGAAACAUGAAUCAAAGUUCAGGUAUAGUAUUUCAGACUUCUUUUGGAUUCUCAUAUAUCAAAUGAUCAACAUUUUUUACACACAUUAACAUCUAAACCAUCUCAUGUAUCUAUGCUAUGGUCUACAUAUGAAGUAAUUAAACUUACAAUUUUACAAAUAUUAAUUUCAUAAUAGUCAUGUCAUACAUAAUGCUUCUAUUCUUAUUUUUUUAUUGUUUAAUGUAUACCAUAAACCAGUAAAUGCUACAGAACAUGUUGAGGUAGCGACAUCGGAGAAACACAACAAAAGAAAGACAAAUACAAUGAAUAUCAACGACACAUCAGAGAGGCAUAACAAAAGAAAAAGAUAUGCGAUAAAUAUCAGUGACCCACUAGAACUCCAACAAAAAAAUGGUUAGUCGAAGCUAUUUGGUGGACUCAUUUUAUAUUUGUUACAUUAUCUAUGUUAUUAAAUUGUUAAUUUUUAUAUUUUUGCUUUUAAUCUGUUCCAUUUUAUAAUUCCCAAUAAUAAAAACAGAAUAUCAACACAAACAAAAACUUGCUGGGUUUCGACAAGCCAGGUUGAAUAGGAAGCAAAUGCUCAGUUUGAGGCGGAAUAAAGGAAACAUUGCUGCAUUUUUCGGUGAAAUAUAAAAUUUAGGACAUACACAUGGAUUAUUAUAGCUCAUGCUUUAUAAAAACUCACUAACGUUAUGGCCUAACGGCCAACUUAUUUUCAUUACUUAUGUUGUAUGCACUUACUCUUUGUCAGGAGACACUUACCAACAGUGUAACGUAGGCACAUCAACAACCCAAGACAUUAAUAGCAAUACUGAAAACGUUUGUGCCACGUUUGAGCUCCGACACACAAGUGGUUGGUUUUAUGCAUUUCAUUUAUCAAUUUAACAUUUAAACAACUUAAAAUAUUUUACUUUCAAUCUUCUUAUUUUUAAUUGGUUCCAUUUUAUUGUUCUUAAUGUUGUAAACAGAAGAACAAAAUAUACAACGGCUUGCAGGGUUUAAACAAGCCAGAUUAAAAAGGAGACAAAUCCUUGAUUCAAGGCGCCGUUGCCCCACUUUUGCAGCAUCCAUAGGUGAGAACAAAAUAAGAACUAAAUAAUUCAUGAGUCAUACAUACUAACUUUGUAACUGUUCUAACAUUUUCCAAUUCUCGGUACAUUCGAGGUGUCACAUCAACACCACAAAAUAUACAACGCCCUUGCGGGGUUUAAAUAAGCCAGAUUAAAAAGGAGGCAAAUCCUUGAUUUAAGGCGACAUAGACCCACCUUUGCAACAUCCAUAGGUAAAACCAAAAAUAAAACUAAAUAAUUCAGAGUCAUACAUAUUAACUUUGUAACUGUUUUAACAUUUUCAAAAUGUUGGUACAUUGGAGGUGUCACAUCAACAGCACAAGACAGUAAUAGGAAAAAUGAAAACGUUUGUAGCACUUUUGAACUACGACACACAAGUGGUGGGUCUUAUGCAUUUCAUUUAUCAAUUUAACAUUUAAACAACUUCAAAUAUUUCAUUUUAAACUUCUUAUUUUUAAUUGGUUUCAUUCUAUUAUUCUUAAUCUUAUAAGCAGAAGAACAAAAUAUACAACGAUGUGCGAGAUUUAAACUAGCCAGAUUCAAAAGGAGGCAAAUCCUUGAUUCAAGGCGACCUAGCCCCACAUUGGCAGCAACCAUAGGUGAAGAAAAAUAAAUAAAACUACAUAGUUUUUAAUUGUUCUAACAUUUUUCAAUUCUCGAUACAUUCAAUGUGUAUUUGGUGGAAUAUUUAUGAUAAAUUAUAUUUUUAAAUUAAUUUUCAUAUAUAGUUCAUGAUAGUUUAAAUUAUAUUUAAAUUAAAUCUUAGAAAAUUAAUUUAAAAUUUAUCAAAGACUUUAAUUUAAAUAAAUAAAAAUCUAACAUUUACUACUUCUAUUACAUCUGCUUACUCUUCGACAGGAAAUAAGACAUCCAAACCCAUAACAACACAUAAAAGGACAAAUACCAAAAGUAUUCACAGUACACAUCGAAUCCAACACAAAAGUGGUUAGUGUUAUCUCUUUGCAUGACCAAUUUAAUAGUAGCUUAUAAUAUUUAAAUACAAUAUUUAAAUGCACAAUGAAACCAUCAUAGCUGCAUUUAUUACCUUUUCUGACUCCCGGUGCUUAAGACUCUAAAAAACGACUAACGUGAACUGAUAAUAUUCGAUAUAUAUACUCUCAACAGGAAACAACAACCAACAAACUGGGUCAGUCGCAUCUAGAACACACGACAGAAGGAUGAAUCCAACAAAUGGUUAGUGUGGCUUAUUUCUUUAAACAACUUAGCAUUGCAAAAACCAAUAAUCUUUCACUUUAAAAUCUCAUUUGCAGACCAUGUCCAAACUUAUAUGGAUCUCGGCCAUCCAAAUUUUGAAUGCGAAAAAUGUGGAAGCACAAUGUGGUAUAAUGAGAGAGCUGAUAAACCACGUCGACCAAGGAACCCAACAUUCUCUCUUUGUUGCCUGAAAGGGGAUGUCUCCCUAGAGUUUUUAGAGCAACCACCAGACUACUUGAAGGAACUUUUAGCUUACAAAGGUGGCAGACACUCCGUUAAAUUUAGAGAAAAAAUACGGGCAUAUAAUUCUAUUUUUGCAUUCACAUCCAUGGGUGCUAAAAUAGACAACACAGUGAACUUACGUCCAGGCCCAUAUGUGUACAAAAUUAGUGGUCAAAACUAUCAUAGAAUUGGUGGACUCAUACCUGGCCAAGGAAAACAACCUAAAUUCUCCCAGCUUUAUGUCCAUGAUACGGAGAAUGAGAUCCAAAAUCGAUUGAGUUCGCUGAAUGGUGGGAAGACUGCACGAGACCUUGAUGCAGAUAUUGUCCGGCGCCUAAAGGAUAUGCUCGACAUGAAUAAUUCUGUAGCCAAAUUAUUUAGAAUGGCAAGGGAUAGAUUAUCUGCACCGGACAACAAAGAAGUUCGCAUAAGGUUGAUUGGCACAAGAUCAAAUGAUUCAAGACAAUAUACAACACCUACCGCAACAGAAAUUGCUGGUCUCAUUGUUGGAGAUUUUGGUGAAUCAAAUGGACGAAGAGAUAUAGUUAUUGAGCAUAAAACAGAUGGCCUGCAGAGAAUAAAAGAAUAUCAUCCAAAAUUCAUGGCAAUGCAAUAUCCUCUGUUAUUUCCAUAUGCUGAGGAUGGAUUUCACCUAGACAUUUAUUAUUCUCAAAAUCAUGCAAAAAGAAAGAAAAAGAAAAAAAGAAAAAAAGUUACCCUGAGAGAAUAUUAUGCUUACCGGAUACAACAGAGGCCCUGUGAAGCAAAUACUCUUAUUAUUGGUGGUCGACUGUUCCAACAAUACGUUGUUGAUGCAUUCACGGCAAUAGAAGAAGAGCGACUGCGCUGGGUUAGACAGAAUCAAACAGUGUUGCGUACGGAUCUGUACAGAAAUGUAUGUGAUGCAGUUGUGCGUGGAGAUACAAUAGCUGCUGCUACUGGGAAGAGAAUCGUUUUGCCAUCUUCUUUUACAGGUGGCCCUCGAUAUAUGGUUCAAAACUAUCAAGAUGCCAUGGCCAUAUGCAGGACAUUUGGAAAUCCUGAUAUCUUCAUGACAUUUACUGCUAAUCCAAAGUGGCCAGAGAUUCAAUACAUGCUUCAGAAAAUACCAGGUCAAUCUGUCGAUGAUAGACCGGACAUCAAGACAAGAGUUUUUAAAAUGAAACUUGACCAGCUAAUGAAACACAUAGUGGAGGGGCAAUAUUUUGGUAAAAUUAUAUCAGGUAAAAGUACAUGGAAUAAAUGUUCUCACAUUCUAAAAAAAAAAAAAAUUAAAGAUCAAUUUGAUUCAAAUUGUUUAUUCAAUCUAUAUGAUACAUACAUGUUAUACUAAUAAAGAUUUGUUUUUUUUCUCUCUUUUCAAAUUGACAGCCAUUUAUACCAUAGAGUUUCAAAAAAGAGGUCUGCCACAUGCACACAUACUAUUAUGGUUGCACCCAAGCAAUAAGUAUCCCACCCCGGAGGAUAUAGAUAAGAUUAUUACUGCAGAAAUGCCAUCUAAGGAAGAUGAUCCAGAAUGUUUUAAUGCGGUAAAACAGUUCAUGCUGCAUGGACCGUGUGGAGAUGCAAAUAUAAAUGCACCUUGCAUGAUUGAUGGUAUUUGUAGUCGAAAAUUUCCCAAAAGUUUUUUCGAUGAAACAACAAUAGAUAGAGAUGGGUUCCCGACGUAUAGAAGGAGGGACGAUGGAAGACAUGUGAAAAAAGGAGAUAUCAAUUUAGACAAUCGGUAUGUGGUUCCAUACAAUCGAGGUUUGUUGCUGGCAUUUCAAGCACAUCUAAAUGUUGAAUGGUGCAACAAGUCAAGGGCCAUAAAGUACCUAUUUAAAUAUCUUCACAAGGGCCCAGAUAGAGCAAUAAUGGUAAUAGAAGAUAAUGUUUUGGGCAACAGAAGCACAAAUGCAACUCAUAUAACAAUGGUUGAUGAGGUCAAAACAUUCUUGGAUUGUAGGUACGUCAAGGUAGUUAUAGGGAAUACUCUAAUAAUGAUCACAAUGAAUUUAUAACCAUUUCAUCUUUUAUGCAUUAUUCAUUGUAGGUAUGUAUCGGCAUGUGAAGCAUGUUGGAGGAUAUUCAAUUUUGACAUACACUACAGAAAUCCGGCUGUUAUGAGAUUGAGCUUUCAUUUGCCAGAAGAACACUCAAUCACUCUAAGAGAUUCAGAGCAAUUGUCAGACGUAAUUUCAAAGGAAGGAGUUGAACAUACUAUGUUUACAGAAUGGAUGCUAAUGAAUUCAAUGAGCUCGGAAGCACGUACAUUAACGUAUUCUGAGUUUCCCAAAAAAUUUGUUUGGGACGAGACAAAAAAAAAGUGGAAAAAACGGAAAGCUGGAAGAACAAUCGGAAGAAUUUAUUAUGCACAUCCAACUAGCGGGGAGAAAUAUUACCUCAGAAUUUUACUGAAUAUUGUUCAUGGUCCAACAAGCUAUGAAGAAAUAAAGACAGUGGGAGGGGUGACUUAUCAGACAUUCAAAGAAACAUGUAAUGCUCUUGGGCUAUUGAAUGAUAACAGAGAGUGGAAUGAUGCAUUGAAUGAAGCAUCACAGUGGGCCACAGGCACUCAAUUAAGAGAGUUAUUUGUUACCAUUUUGCUUUAUGGAGAAGUGGCAGAUAUAGGGAAACUAUGGGAAACUAAUUGGAAAACGUUGUCUGACGAUAUUGUCUACAAAAAGAGAAUAUUGUUUCAACACUCCAGAUUGGAGCUUAAUGAUGAACAGAUUCAAUCAUACUGCUUGAUUGAAAUUGACAAGAUUUUGGUUCGUGCUGGAAGUUACCUUUCUGAUUUUGAUGGAAUGCCGUUGCCAAAUAGUGAAUCCUUUGAAGCCACGGAAAACCGACUUAUUGUGGAAGAGCUUAGUUAUAAUGUUGAUGACCUGAAAAAAGAACACGAAAGAUGUCAUCCAUUGUUGAACGAACAGCAGAUUGAUAUAUAUAAUAAUGUUAUAAAUGCUGUCAACACUAAUAUUGGUGGACUCUACUUCGUGUAUGGCCAUGGAGGGACUGGCAAGACUUUUCUAUACAGAACAAUUAUUGCAAAACUCAGGUCAGAAAAAAAGAUAGUACUUGCUGUUGCUUCUUCAGGUAACCCAUCACUUUUUCAAUCCCUUAUAUAAAUUUACAUGUUGUCUAUUUGUACUUAUAAAUAUGUCAGUCCAUACACCCUUAUUUCUGCGCUUCAUUGCAAUAUUUAUUGUACAAAUUACUAUAUGUACCAAAUUAGCAACUAUUAUAUGCUAUAAUCUAUCUAAUAUUAUAUGCUUUUCUUCUACACAAAAUAUAAAAAAAAACAUACAAUUUUUAUUCAAAUAUAUAAAUAUAUAUAUAUAUAUAUAGAUAGAUAGACAUAGACACACACAUAUGCUUGCAUGCAUAAAUAUAUUUUCAAUUUUUUUUUUAAUUUCAUUCUUGACAGGUAUUGCAUCCCUCUUGCUUCCUGGAGGAAGGACCGCUCAUAGUAGAUUUAAAAUUCCUCUUGAGAUCUAUGAAGACAGCACAUGCUCAAUAAACCAAAAUACUCAUCUAGCUGAUCUAAUGGUUCAAACAGAUCUCAUAAUCUGGGAUGAAGCACCAAUGACUCAAAGAUAUGCUUUUGAAGCUCUUGAUAGGACACUUAAAGACAUAAUUGGUUUCAAAUUUCCGGAUAGGGCAGAGCAACCAUUUGGAGGAAUGACAGUUCUUCUUGGAGGAGAUUUUAGGCAAAUACUUCCUGUAAUACCAAAAGGUCGAAUACAUGAUAUAAUUCAAUCAUGCAUCAACAAGUCUUUUUUGUGGGACUACUGUACAAUAUUUUCAUUGUCCAAAAGCAUGAGGGUCAGAAAUACUACCUCUACAGGCAAAGAACAUGAUGUGAUACGUGAAUUCAAUAAAUGGCUACUUCAACUUGGUGAUGGAAACAUUCAAGCACAAAGCCGACGUGGUGAAGAUUUUGCAUCGUGGACGACGAUACCAGAUCAAUAUCUUAUCCCACCAAUGGGUGAUCCACUCAAACAAAUUGUGGAUAACACUUACCCAGAAUUAAAGAGCCAUCUGUGGGAUGAAGAAUAUUUCAGGGAAAGAGCAAUACUCACUCCUCUAAAUGAAACAGUUGAUGAAAUCAAUAAUUAUAUUGUUCAGUUUACUGAUGGAGAAACAAAACAAUACAGAAGCUCAGACGAGAUUGACAAGACAACUGACAACAUAUCAGAUCAAGAGCUCAUGUAUCCUGUGGAAUUUCUAAACUCCUUAAAUAUUAAUGGAUUUCCAAGACAUUGUUUGGAGCUUAAAGAAGGAAUGCCUAUUAUGUUAUUGAGGAAUAUCAAUCCGGCAUUAGGAAUGUGUAAUGGAACAAGACUUAUUAUUACGCAUCUAGGAGAGCGAGUAAUAGAGGCUAAAAUAAUUACAGGAUCUAACGUUGGUUCAAAGGUGCUAAUCCCCAGAAUUGUUCUUACUUCUAACGACUCUAAAUGGCCUUUUCUGUUGCGCAGGAGGCAGUUUCCAAUUAAGGUGUGCUAUGCAAUGACAAUAAACAAAAGUCAAGGCCAGUCAUUAAAUUAUGUGGGAUUAUAUUUGCCAAGACCUGUAUUUAGUCAUGGACAACUAUAUGUUGCCUUUUCAAGAGUCACUUCCCCAGAGGGACUGAAAAUUCUAAUUGUUGAGCGUGAUGAGAAUUAUGUACAAUACACGAAAAAUGUAGUGUACCAUGAGGUAUUUAGUGGUCUUCCUCAAUGUAAAUAUAUUUGAUGCACUGUUUUCAAAUCUAUCUAUCAUUCACAAUAACUUUAGCAACUACGUUAUUCAUUGUUAACUAACACACUUCGAUUUGUACCAUUGAUUUUUUACAAUAAUAACCGCGAAUCCCAAGUAAUCGGACUUUUUAUAACAGAAUUUAAACUUCAGAACCUUAAUAAAGUAAAAUCCUACAAACACAACAAUAACCAUUUGAAUCGUUUCAAUGGUGAAAAAACUUAUUAAUGGUUACAACCGUAAGUUUCUAUCUACACAUCAACUAAUAGCAUAAAUGGUUCCAAAUGAGCAGCCAAUGUUAAACCAAUAACUAAAAUUAUCAUAUCAAUUGAUCAAUGUACCUUAUACGAAGCAGCCCACUACUAAUUGGCAAACACUAUCGAUCCUUUAACUCACAUACCUAAAAAAAAAACAUUUUAUCAACAAUUACAAAACUGAACUGAGUUCAACAAAUUGAAACUAAAUCCAAAACAAAAUUUAAUAUAAGUAACAUGUGUACAACAAUAGUAGGAGGAUGAUUGUCGCCGAACUCGGUAACGAAUUCAACAGACAGCUCAACGGAAACUAACCCAGAGAUGAAGAACAAAAUAUUCAAAUGUUUACAUUUUAAUAGUUUCUACAUUUUAAUAUAACCAUUUUAAUAGUUUCAUUGGUGGAAAAACUUAUUAAUGGUCAAAACCACAAAAAAAAAAAAAAAAUAUCAAAUUUACGCAUAAAUGGUUCCAAAUGAACAACCAGUGUUGAAUCAAUGACUAAAAUUAUCAUAUCAUUUUAUCAAUGUACCGUCUAUGAUGUGUUCCACUGCUAAUUGCCAAACAACUUCCAUAGUUGAACUCACAUACCUAAAACAAAUAACACAAUUCAUCAACACUGACAAAAAUGAACAGAGUUCAACAAAUUAAGAAUACAUCGAGAACAAAAUUGAAAAUAACUAAAAAAAUGUGUAAAACAAUAUCCCGAUCUCACUACCGGAUUCAAGUUGGGCCUCAACCGAAAAAACCCACAAACAAGAACAAAAGAUAAAGAAGAAGACAACUGACAUCACCUUCUUCUCGGUGCUCAACGGUUCUGCGAUUGAACCGUCGUUCGUUCACUCGACAUCAACGAAGAACCAUCUCGGAUAAUAACACUGCUGGCAUCAGAAAUAGGCACAAAGUGUUAUCUGAGGAUUAUCUGCAGAAAGUUGCUUCUAUUGGUGUCAGAAAGAAGCGUUCGUCUCAUCAACAUCAUUCUUUUGGAACGAGUAGUGAUAAAAAGGAACGAUCCAACGAUGUCUUGAAAGUGGUCAAAAUAAUACGUAGAGAUAAGAACCAUAACCUGUCAAAGGAAAAUUUGCUGCAUCAACAGAAAACGAAUAAUAGGUUGCGAAUUGUUGUCCAUGGAGGAGAUGGAUUGUUUGAAACAUAUAGGCUUUCGAAAUCUCAAUUUGAUGGGGAGGAUGUAACUUUCAACUCAAGAAUUUCUGUAACGAUUAUCAAGAAUAUAGGCUUAAGAAGAAUUGCUUUUUUUGAAACAUAUAGGCUUUCGAAGAAUUGCUUUGCCUUUCCAAAUUAUCGAGGAUUGCCGUGUUCAUCUUGGUUGAAAGGAGUUUAAAAAAUUCACGUUUUUAGGGAUUCAGUUGUGUUCUCUUUUCUUUCAAAAUCACUUUUAUGUUUAAAUAUAAAAAAAUUCCUUUUUAUUUUAUAUUGUUCGUAACUUUUCCUUCUUUUUUUUAAACAAAAAAAUUAAAAAUCUUACUCUUUAAUUUUGAUUAGAUAUGUUAUUAAUAACUUUUUAUUUUUUAUUCAAUCAACUACUACUUCAGUAUGAAAUUAUAACACUUUUUGAUAAAAACAAAAAAAAAAAAAAAAAACCCUUUUCAUAUUUUCGACUAACAAAAAUGCAUCCAAGUUUUUACCCUUUUUUUUUUGUGAUAGUCCAAGUUUUUACCUUAAAAAUAUGGACCUACAAACCAUUAAUUUUAUUUUUUUGAUCAGUAAACAUCUGAUUUUUUGGAACUGAAGAACUUUAAUUGCGGUCAAAUAUAAUCUUUAAUGAUGGAAUCAAUUUUUUUAUUAAAGAACUCAAUUUUUAAUAUACUUGAUAUCAUUGUAUCAUUUACUUUAAAUAUUUGCUAAAAUAAUGUUAUUUUAAAAAUAUAAAAUGUCCAACAUUUUUUUUAUAUAACUAAAUAAUGAUCUGAUGCAUCAACUAAAACAAUUUAAUCAAACCCGUGCAACGCACGGGUUGUAUCCCUAGUUAAUUAAAUGAAUUCAAAACCCAGAAAAGGAAAGAAAAAGGGAAAGAAGAAGAAAAGGAAAGAAAAAGAAAUGAAAACUGUUAAGUUAAUGAAGAAAAUUAACGAAAAGGAAAGAAGAAGAAAAAUGGGAAAGAACGAGAAUGAGGGGAAGAGGAAAAAAAGAAAGAAAAAGAAAAGGAAGAAAUGAGGAGAAAGAAGAAAUUUUUUUGGGUUGGUAUGAAAAAUGGAGGAAAAAUUAUGUUGAAGAUGAUUAAGAGGAGGAUGAAGAAUGGAGGAAAAAUUAGUUAAUAAAUGGUACACUAUAAGAUAGAAUAGACAUGCACAAUCCAACGAUCCUCUUUUUAACUAAAAUAUCAAAUGGUUAAAAUUAAAAAACUUAGUAAGGUCUAUGGUGGACCACCUAUAAUGUUGGUUCACCUUAGACAUUUAGUGUUAAAAACAGACGGAAGUGUCCAAAAUGGUAAACGACAGAAGAGUUAUGGGACCAAAUUGAGACACUUUAUAGUUAAAGGAUCAAAAUAAAAAUAAAAAAUAAGUUAAGGGACCAAAUCAUGUAUUAAACCAAAAAAAAAAUGUAGGCUGUGUCGAGUGAAUGGAAAAAGAGCAGCUGCAAAGAGAGUGAUUGGUUGUAAAGGGGGAGAGAAAAAGCAUAAUCCAGUGGUUUGUCACUAAAGAUAUCAUGUACCCUUUUUUUAUCUAACGGUCAAUUUAAACGGUACACCGGUGAGGGACUUAAUAGAGCCCUCACCCUAGAAUCAAUUAUAAAUAAUAACUUAGUUUUGAUUCUUUUUACUUUCUUUUCUAUUAAUUCAUUCAUCCACUAAAACACAGAGACAUUGUCUCAGAUUUGCAAGAAUCUUGAAUGGAUUGUGUGUACGUUGGCAGGGAUAGUAGCAUUUAUCACAUGAAAUUGUCUUUACAGUUUGUUUGGAUUUACGAGUGAAGAAGUUUUCUCUUUAAUUCCAACCGGAAGUGGUGACCGGAAACUCAUCCAAGGUGGCGUGCGGUGGCUCGCCGGUGUAGGAAGAAAGGCAUACAGGCUAAAGUUUUAACUCAAAUUGAAGGUUGAAAAACAUACUUCUGGAAGAAAAAACAUACUCCGUCCCAAACAUGUUUAAGUUUUAAUUGUUCUGAAGAAAAAAAAAACGAUAUUGGGAUGGCAGGUUUGAUGUUGGUGGUGGUGGGUUAGUGAGGCAUGAAGAAGAAAUAAUAGUGUUGAAGAUGGUGUAGAAGAAUAAUAUGGUGCUGAGAGACUAUGAUAAAUGUGUAUACUUUAUUUGAUCAAAUAACUUUUCCAUGGUGGAAAAGUUUUACCCUUUCCCAUGUUAAAUGCCACACGAGGACAAGUGUACAAUGGCAAUCUAUUUUACUACACUCUUUUUUUCUGCACAAGGACAAAUUGUGACGUUUGAUGUUCAGCUUCAUAUAAAUAUGAAAGGAGUUUGUCGAACAUUUAUCAUGCCUAAAUAUCCAAAUAUGCACCUACGAUUGACAUAAACCAAACCCAAGACUACCAACCAAGAUUAACCUAAACAAAACGACGUGGUUUCUUAACUCUACCAGUAGUGGGUGCAGACUUACGUGCAGCCUAAAGGAACCGAAAAAACCAAAAAAAUUAACCAAAUAUAUUCAAUCACCAUAAUGCAAAUAACAUUCAAUGAUUAUGAAUAUGAUGGAUUCAAAAACUCACCUUGGUUGCAAGUUGCUUCCUAGGUGCCUUUCCACCAGUAGCUAAGCGAACAUGAGCGAGAGUUAGUGCUCCACAAAUUGUUUAAAUUAUGCUUUUGGAUUUGUUUAAAAUUAUCCUCUAGUUGGAUUUUUUUUUUUGGCUAUGUAAUAUUUAAGAACAUGGAAUGCCAAAGGAAUUUGAUUAUAGUUCAAUUGGUGACGAUCAAAAGUUGUGAAAGUUCAUAUUCUUCGGUCAUUGAUAAACAAUUUGUUGGACAAUAUUCAAUACAGUUACCACAAAAAAUACAAAUUUCGAAAUCAAUACUGUAAUUUAGCAACUGUUUCUUUCGAAUAUCAAUUUAGCAAUUGUUUCUUUUGAACACAUACUUCACAAGCAAUGCAUUUAUCAAAUUCAAAAUGGAUUCAACCGCGGAAACGUUCCGAUGUGAUUAAUUUUUCAUAAGGAUAUUGAAAAGUUACAGGUAAACGAUUUGCGUGAGAUAAGAUAAUCAUGAAACUUUGAUCAAUGUACCUUGCAGCUCAGACUGUUUGUUGACCAUAAUUCAUGAUUUAUGACUUGUUAAUUGUAACACCCCGUUACCCAAAGCAAUAAAAUAGCAUAUAAACAUCAGAGUAAUUCCACAAACGGGCAUGCUACAUUGCAAAUUCAAAAUUCUUAAAUAGAAAAUAAAACUAUUUAGUUCAACAUCAUUCAUAACUUCAAUAAUUAUGCAGCGGAAAGUUUUGCAUUUCAAUAACAACCACAACAAUUUAAAUCUCCAACAAUAUCCUGACAUUAAGCCUAAACAACAAAAGUCAAACAACAAAGGGCCCCAUCGUUAAGUUCCAAAAAUUGAUACAUAGGAGGAAAACAACAAUAAAAUAAUAUAAAUGCUCCCAUCCCACGUAUCAAAGCCCUAGACACGACAAUGAGCCACCACCAACUACUCAGGAUCACCUGCAAGUUACCCAUAGGAAGGGCAACGUUUUCAAGCAGAAGGGGUGAGAUUCACAACAAUAAAUAUAGAUUUUAAAAAUCAUCAAAUGAAUCUAACACCCUAAUCAACAACACAUUAUCUUGUAAACAUAUAUUUGUAUAAGUCACAAGCAACAACAACAUCAACAAUACACCAUAAUUACGGUGAAUAUAAAUAUAUAUAACACAUAUUCAACACCAACAUCAUCUAUCAAAUAACAACUGAAACCAACAACCAAAACUCAUGCAAAUGACAUGACCACUGCUAAAACACCAUCUUAGACUUCUUAAUGAAAUGCAAUUAUGCAUGUGGUACCAAUCAGGACCGGAGCCCUCACCGCUUUUGAAUGGUUAAAGCAUUCAUCAGGACCGAAGCCCUCACCGCUGUUGAGCAACUAGUACUCCAGGACCGAAGCCCUCACCGCUGUUUUAUGCAUAUGCAAUGGACCUACUUGUGUAUAUCUACAUACAACUGACCAUGCAAUGCAACUCCAUGUGACUCCAAUUAAUACAACAUGUAUGAUUAAUAAUUAAAACAUACAAUGCAUUCCUCAUCAUCAAUCAACAUCCAACAGAGAUUCAACCAUUCAGAAUGAUGUAUAAUUAAAUAAAAUUAUGCUUAAACAACAACACUUAAACCUUAUCAAUCAAGCAAGCAAAACUGCACUCAAAACUGCACUAGCUCGCCUCGCGAGCACAUCUGCUCGCCAUGGCGAGUUCACAAAACACUAGCUCGCCAUGGCGAGUUCAAGGCGAACUCGAGGCGAGUGAAAAUCAGGUACUCUCGGGAAAAAGUGACAUUUCCUCACUCAAACUCCAAUUCUAAGCUCCCUAUUCAUCUUUCUAACCUAAAACUUCCACCAUUCAUCAUUAAAAUCAUCUAGGUACCUUAAACCAUCCCCAAAACAUCUUAUAACAACUUUUCAAAAAUCAGGUUUUAAUCUGGGCUACUCGCCAUGGCGAGUUGGAUUGCUCGCGAGGCGAGCUAUGAAGUUGCUCACUCGCCAUGGCGAGCACAGCUACUCGCGAGGCGAGCGAUGAACUUCUGUACGGGCAGAAAACUGGUUUUACCCAAAAAUCCCAUUUUUCUUCCAAUCACUCCCCAAAUCAGUUUACAGAUGCAAAUUAACUUUCUGUAUGCACUUAGAACCUAUUUCUAACAUCAAAUUCAUGCUUACAACUUCAAAACUACAAUUUCAUCAUAAAACCCAAAAUCCCCAAUUUCUACCAAAACCUGUUAAACUCAAAAUCAGACUUUAAAUUCUACACCAUUGAAGUAAACCCCACCCUUACCUUAAUUCAGAAUGAAAAAUGCACCGCAAAAAGGGUUCCUCUGGUUCUUCUCUCUUGCUCCUGGUUUUCUCUUCCUUGGCUUGGUUUCACGUAAAACUGUUUCUGACUCCCACUUUCUAUUUUCUUAACUUCCCACUUAAGAGUAACUCCCUCCUAAUUACACUUAACUCCCCCAAAUUCCUAAUAACUCCAAUUAAUUCCCCAAACACCAAAAUAAUUAAUAUUUCAUACUUAUUUUAAUUAUUAUUAAAUAAACCAUAUAAUAAAAUAAUAUACCAUAUAAAUCACCCAAAAUCAUACAUAUAAAUAUAAGCAUAUGCAUAUACUCCACAUAAAUCACCAAACCAUCAUAUAUAAAUAUAUAUAUACUCCACAUAGUUUAAAAUUAAUUAAAUAAAUAAUUAGGGCGUUACAUUAAUGCCCCAUAGUUGAGUUGCUUUUUUGCAUAUAUAAAUACUUCUGCACUUGUAGUUUAAUGACUUAUUAUGCGUUAUUUGAUGGUAUUUUUAAGAAUCAAUCCGCGUCUCUUUACUUUUUUACUUUGUUCUGCACAUAACAAAUUCAAGGACUUAUUUGAUGAUAUUUUUAUAUAAUGUAGGGAUCGAAUUGAAAUAGACAAAUAAUUUAAUGACAAACUUGAUGAAAAUAUUUUGACAGAAAUGUUGCUUUGAUUCAUCUUCAACCUCUUUUCAUAACAACAUUACACACGCCUAGUAUAAUACAGUAACAUGUUAAACUUAAGCUCAUACUUAAUACUUAAUCAACCUAAGCUCAAAUUCUGGGACACCAACAAUCAAGUACUCUCGCAUCACCAUUAAACAUAGAGCUUGAGGAUGAAUACCGACUUUGAUAACUAUUUUUGCUCAUAUGCUUACCACCCAUCAUUUCAGAUUCAACCUGAACACCAAAGUGAGAUUUUUUUUUGAGGAUUUUUGAAUUUCGAAUUCAAUAAAAAAAAAAUAAAGUUUUGGAGUUUUUGGAAUUGGGGAAGAACAUUGUCAUCAAUUAACAGAAGAAAUUUUGGGGAUUUUGAACUCUAGAUGACAAAUUAUAAAUUAGGGUUCUAAUUUUAUAGAUUUGAGGAAGAAAGAGCUAUAGUAUAACAGUCAUUCUUCUGCAAAUUAUGGAAUCCAAUUUUCUGCAAAUCAAUCAAUUUGGUCAUUGGAAAUUUUGUCACUUUCGGCCAAAUUAAUCCUUGCUUGUGUGACAUCUGACAUGACAAGCCUUGUGAGAGGUUAACAGAACACGUCAUCACCGUUAAUAUCCCAACUUAACGGAGAGACUAAUUUGAUUGACAUUUGACAACUUCAGAAACUAAUGUGAUAUUUCGACAAAUUGAAAGACGAAUUUGGAUAUUUACUUGAAACAAAACACAAGGAUUUGUCAAAUUUUACCAACCUUUUGACCUUUAUACUUUCAACCAUUUGAACCGUACUGUCCAUUCCAAAACUACCAACCAAGAGAACCAUACAAUCAUUAUCAAGACUCAACCAUUUAAACAAUAUUCCGCUUGUGUAACUUUGAGUUUUGUGAUUUUGUGACCUCUUAAUCUCUUAUCUAUCUCCUUACUAAUAAUUCUCUGUCACCAAAAUAAUUUAUUAAUCACUAAAAAAAAUCAUACCAUUGUUCUUUGUGUGUGUUAACCUUCCCAUUCUUAGAGGAAAGGUUAAUCCAAAGUAAAGUCAAACAAAAAUUGUUUCAUUCAAAAAUAGAACAGUACCAUCUUUUUCAAGAUUACCAUGAAUGUGUUGGAAAAAAAAACACACACACAAGUGGUUUGUAUUGCGUUGAUUGCGCAUUUAUUUGAACCACAAUUACUCGCACAACUCAUUAGAGAAGAAAUGAAGAAUACACGGUUACAGGAAAAAGUUGUAAUCAAUGCACUCAUGUAAAAAUUCGACGAAGUUUUUAUCAACCACAUUCCUCUUACUCUUAGGCUACCCAUUACGAAGCAAGAACCUUAGAUUCAAAAGUCCUCAGGCCAGGAUACUAUUGACAGACUAUACAAGCAGAUAUCAAAACAAUUUUAUGAUUUUAUAAUAUAUAUCAAAGGUUCCUUCAAAAAAAUAUAUAUAUAUCAAAGGCGUAACAUCAUCCUUAAGUCAUGAGACAAGUUAUAAGACUUACACUAUAUCUCAACCGUUAAACAUAAUAUAUCUAAGGGAUCAUAACAUUCCACCAGUCAAAUUAAAAAAAAUCCUUAGGUAAGGCACCACAUGUGAUUUCGUCUUCUUUCUCUUCAAGAUCCCACGGUGCCCCUGGAGAGUUUGUUUCAUGUUCUUUUUUAUUGAGUUGCAAUGCAAUCAAUAGUCCAACCAAAUAAUGGGUUGAUUGUUGAGCUGAGUGGAAAAGUUCCUACAAAAUGAGUUGCAACAAGGAUCAACAAGGUGCUCACAAAAUUACACCACGAUUGUUUAACUAUGUUUUUGAAAAUUGAAGGUUUGACAAAUUUAUAGAAAUUACAGAAACCUAAAUCAUGAAAAGAAAGGGAAAACAAAAAAUAAAGAUCUCAUGUAAGAAAGUCUUGUGAUCUUCUCAAUUUAUUAAUCUUGUUUUCUGAAGUCUCUAAUACCACAUUACCAUACUUUUUGACCACACCACAAGUUAACGUUGGCAAAGAUGGAAGAAAAUUGGGACAUUGCGAUGGUGGUUGGUGCUGUAGGUUUACAUGCAUCAAUAACAAAAGUCCUAUAGCACACCACGUUAACAUACUUAUUGAUUAAAUCUAACAAAACAACAUCCAAAUAAUUACAAUCCACCGAGUUGAAACCCUUUUCAAAAUCAACUUUGAAUAUAAUUAAUUCCUUUUUCAACUUGCGGGUUUCAUCCACUAACUCAUUACCCAUUAAAAUACCAUUGGUAAUUUGGCAACCAUGAACAAAGGUUGAUUGCUCCUCAAAAAUUACAAUUUCUAUUACCGUUCGUAAUUGAUUAACGAAGACUUUAGCCAACACUUUAUACAAACAUUCAUAAGGGAUACAAGGGUGAUAGUCUUUGAGGGCUAUCCCCCAUAGGAACAAAGGAGAUAAAAAUGUUGGUGAUACCUUUCACCAACUUAUCAUUUCAAUGAAACUUUUAAAUGAAGCGCAUAAAAUUGAUUUCAAAAUCUUCCCUAAACUCUUUGAUAAAACAAAAAUUAACACCAUCGGAGCUGAAUUUUUGUAAUUAUCGCAAUGCCAAAUGACUUGUUUCGCCUCCUCAAGAUUGAAAGGUUUUAAAAGAUAAACUCCUUGCACCAAACUCAAAGAUUUGAAAGUAAAAUUUUCUACCACUUUAUGACCAUUACCAUUUAUAGAGUGAAUAGCAUUAGACCGACGUCUAGAAGAUGAAACUCCAUGAAAUAAUUUGUUAUUAGCAUCCCCCUCUCCAAAUCAGCAUAUUCUUGAUUUCUCUCAAUGCAUGCUAGAAUUUAUUCUUGCCAAAGAGUGUAAAUUUUGUAGAUAAAUAAUGAAGCUCCUCUUAUGCGCUAAAUUCAUCUUUUAAAUCCAGAGAUGAAAUGCGUUCUUUUUUUUUGACGGAGAUGAAAUGCGUUCUUAAACAUAAAGAAUUAUGGUUUUCAAAUUUCGAGUAUGAUGUUAAUGUCAGGAUUUUAGUCUGCCUUUAAUCAACUUAAAUUUUUCUUUUAACACAAAACCUCCGCACGUAUCAUAACUUAUAAUACUUACUUAAAUAUUUUUUUUUGAAAUCUUUUUAAAAAUAUUUACUCAUAGUCGAACUCGUUGAUCCGACUUAUAUUCAAUCAUAGUCGAGUCGGGUUGCUUUGGAUUUGACAUAAAAAAAAAAAUUAUCAUUUCAUUUUUAGACAUCAUUUGUUUUUUAAAAAAAAAUGAUAUUCGUCUAUUCAAAUUGAUGAAAUCAUAUUCAUUACAACUCCCAAUGUAACUUUUGAACUAUCAAUUUUAUUCACUUUAGCCAUGGAUUUUUAUUUAUUGUGUUAAUCCUCUAGUUCUAAGGAAAAAAGAUCCUUGAUAAUUAGAAUAAAAUUUGAUCAAGAAUUGUUUCACCAGGAAUCAAACUCAGGCUCUCCUUAACAAUUUAUCUUUUGAUUGAGCUUAUUAACCACUUGAAUCAAAUUGCUUGAGUUUUAUUAUAGAUGCCUUCUUCCACGUUUUAUUACUUUAAAAAAAAUCAUAUUCUAAAUUUUGCUUGAUUUUACUCAGAUUUAGUUCUACAUGCUAACAUAAUUUUAGUAUACUAAUAUUUUUGUUGUAUAUUUGAAUUUUUGCCUCGCCAAAUUAAAUAUAACAUGCAUAAUUUUAGGUGUAUAUUUUUGUUGUGUAUUUUUUUUAAGUGUGAACUAAAAAGUGUAUAUUUUUAAAAAUAUAUAAAAGUUUUAAUUGAUCUGGUCGGCCCGAAAAAACUCGUAUCCCUCAAAGGGCUGAGAUUAAUUAAACAUUUUUUAGCCCGUUUAUCAUCCGAACCUUUUUGGUCGAACUUGAAAAGUCUGAACUUGACAUGGAUUUUGGUCCGAAUAGUCGGUUAACAUAUUUUGACGGCGCUAGAAUUCAUAGAUCACAUCUCGCCAAUGAGGUGUCUGCACUUAAGUUAAGGCGGUUGUAUUUUUUACUGAAUUUUUUGUUUAUUCAUACCAAUUGUAUCAAAAUUCUUAUUAUAUUUUUUUACCUAAUUUCGUUUAUUCAUACCAAUUGUAUUGAAAAAAUUAUCAUUAAUGAAAUGAAUUAAGUUUGUUGCUUAAAAAAACAUUUUCUAUCAAAAAAAUAGGUAUAAAUUGGCUGAGUGAGAAUGGAUAAUUAAAAAAUAAGUUUAUUGAGAAAAAAAUAAUAUAUACUUGCCAAAAAUAAAAAAUUAGUGAGAAAAAAUAUCUAAAGGAAUAUUCCAAGCAUGGGCCAACGGCGCACAAAAAACAAUGUCGGUGGACUCCACACAUCAGACUCAAUCAGUAUAUGAUUCCACGUAGCCCUAGUUUUAACCCAAUCCAUAACCCUAGUUAACAAUUCCUCUCCUAUAUAAACACCCCUCUGCGUUCACUGUGAAAAUAUCUUCCUUCAUCUUUUCCCCUAAUUCCUUCUCUGUCCCCAAUUCGAUUCGAUGGGUUCUUCUGAUGUUGAGUACCGUUGCUUCGUCGGAGGUCUUGCAUGGGCCACCGAUAGCCAAGCUCUCGAGCAAGCUUUCUCUAAGUUUGGUGAAAUCACUGAUUCCAAGGUCCGUGCGGAUUCUGAUUCGGAUUCGGAUUUCGAUUCUGAUCUGUGAUCUGUUCUGUUACUCUGUUACUUGAUCUGUUUGUUACUACUGAUUCUGUUACUGUGAUUGUGAUUCUGUUACUAUAUCAUUUGAUUCGAUUCUUUUGUUACUCAUACCAAUAGGUACGUUCAUCUUCAUCUUUUAACAAAAGGAGAAGAUCGAUCGGUUACUAUUCGGUUUUUUUGAUUUAUGAAUCUGUUUUGAUUGUUGAAUGUUGAUUUGUCAUGGAUCUGAAUUUUUGUUGUUUUUGUUUUGUUUAGGUGAUUAACGAUCGUGAAACUGGACGAUCAAGAGGUUUUGGUUUUGUGACAUUCGCUGAGGAGAAAUCGAUGAGAGAUGCAAUUGAGGAGAUGAACGGUCAGGAUAUUGACGGCAGGAAUAUUACUGUGAAUGAAGCUCAGUCCCGUGGUAGUGGUGGAGGAGGUAGAGGUGGUGGCGGCGGUGGUUAUGGUGGCGGCGGUGGUUAUGGAGGAGGCGGUGGUGGAUAUGGAGGAGGCGGUGGUCGUCGUGAUGGUGGAUACAGCAGAAGCGGUGGUGGUGGAGGCUAUGGGGGAGGAGGCGAUCGUGGAUAUGGUGGUGGAGGUGGUGGUGGUUAUGGUGGAGGUAGGGACCGUGGAUAUGGAGGUGGAGGUGGUGACCGUGGUUAUGGUGGUGGAGGUGGCGGUGAUCGCUACUCUCGUGGUGGUGGUGCUGAUAGCGGUGGAAACUGGAGGGAUUAGAAAAUUAGGUCUUCAGUUUGGUGGUUUAUGAUUAUGAAUGUUGUCAUGUUGAAUUAGUUUGAUUUAGUUGGUUGAAUUUAGUGUUUUGGCUAUGAUAUUUGUUCUGUUAUGGUUUAGUUUUGCUUUGUCGUGUUUUUGGUCCUGAAUCUGGUUUUGUAUAAACGAUUGAUUGAAAAGGAUAAUGAAAAAUUGGAUUCAACAAAUUCUUGGUUCUCUGUUUAUGGUUUUACUCUUAAUUUUGCGUGGAAUUUUAAUUCCAUGUGAUACGCAAGGGUAUUAUUUUUUGUCGGCAACAAAAACAGAAUUAAUACAAAAAUGUUUUAUAAUAAGUCUAAUGUUAUAACCACCAAAGGCCGGCUUUCUUUUAAAAAAGUGUGUUUGAUAUGGUGGUGGGAAGAAUUGAUUUUGAUAGUUACUUUUGAUUAGAAGUGAUUUAGAUAUGAAUUGAUUUAUGUUUGAAUCCAUUUCUUUAAAAGUAAUUCUUAUGAAUUAAUUUUGUUUGUAUAUUUUGAAUCAUAAUUGUUUUUAAAUUAUCAAAAUAGGUCCCAAUUUAAAUUACAUUACUUUUAUAUUUAACUUUGUUUAUUUUCCUUCAUAAUUUAUCAAGAAAUACGUAAAAAAAAUUAUAUGUUUAUAAAUUGUUUUAUUUACAUUAGUUUCAUUAAAUUAUUUUAACUUUUUUUAACAAUAAAAGAAAAAAUCCUAUGAUAAAUUUAAUGGGCCAGUGAGUUAAACCUAACAAAAAGCUCAUGUAUCACCUUCUUCAACCUAUUGUCACAACAACAAUAAAGCAGGCUGCAGAUCUUAAAAUAUGAAAACAAAUUACAAAGAAAGCAAGGGUAAAAUAGGAUGAUAAACAUGUCACACAUCAUCUUUAAAGGCUGAAACCACGUUUUUCCUCUGUAGAAGUUACGAAUUUGAGCUUCAGCAAAACCAUGUUUGAGACAAAAACCACGUUUCAUUCAUCCGAACAACAUGUUUAAGGAUAAAACGACGUUUGAAAAAUAGUAAAACACAUUUGGAGCCUCAAAAUGUGUUGCCAAACACAUACAAAAGAGGCCAGAUUUUUUAGCAGUAUAUGGUUAGAUUUCUUAAUUUUUUUUUGUGGUAAUAAUGUUUUAAUAUAUACGAUCAUAUGAGCUUCUUUUUUUUUGUUUUUUUUUAGAAAGUACGAUGAUGAGAUGCCAAAGGAUAAUGAUAAAUAUUUUUUUUGAUGUGAUAAUGAUAAAUCUUGAGAAAAAAGAAUGAUAAUGAUGAAAAUGACAACGUUUUUGUAAAGAAAAUGACAACAUUUUAUAUUCAAAUUAAUUGGUUGGUAGAAUACAAAAAAUUUAAAAUUUAUAAAAAAAUAACGUAAGCUAUUAAACAAACAUCACACGAAAUAGAUUAAUGCUAAAAAAAAUAGUUGUAAUAGUCUAUUGUAGCAUAUAUUUUUUUUUAAAAAUUCUUGAUUUUUUCAAAAUAAACUAUAACAAAUUGACUCUAAAUUAAAUAAAUAAAAUGUUUGAAACGUUAAUUGACAAAAUUCAAUUCUUAAAAUUUAAAAACGGUAAUUGACAAAAUUCAAUUCUCUCUAAAGUUAGUAUCAGUGAGUUAAUUUGUUUUGCAUUGGUUAUGUAAAAAAGAGAAUAAACUUUGGCAUCAAUAAAAAGUUAGAUGAUGUUAUUAGCACGGUGACAUCAAAAAUGCACAACUAUUGGUCUAUAAUUACACCGUUGAUACAAAUAUUCAACGAUACCAUUGGCCAAGAUUUUGGAUGGACAACUUGUUGCUCAACUGCUGAAGUGUGAUGACCGUCGAACAUGGAAUUAUAUUGGAGUAAACGAGUUAUAGUCAUUUUAAUCUUUGAAUGUGUAAUUAGAAGUCGUUAUAGUCAUUCGAUGUAUUGAAAUUUUAUAGUAUCUGAUAAUGUACGAUGUUAGUCAAAAUAAUCAUUUAUGUUAAAAUGUUUCGUUAACAUUGUCAUAUUAGCAAGUCGAUAUACUUAGUUAUUAUCCAAAUUAAUCCUUAGUUAUUGUCAUUGCAAUUUUGUACGAAUAGAGUUAAUGUAAGUGUUGAGGGGCUAUUUCAGUGUGAAAGAUUAUUUUGACUAACGAAAUGUACAACUAAAAAUUAUUUUAAAAUUUUGAUACAAUGUGAGACUAUUGUAGCUACUUAUUACAUUUUCAUAGAUCAAAGUGACUAUUAUCUCAAUUAUAUUUUAAUUUACAUCAAACUUGAGCAAAAUUAAGGUCAUGGUUAACCUUAUUUUUUUUGUCUUAGAAAUAAAAAUCAAGCAUUCAAGUAAAAUCUUUCCAGAACUAUUUCACCGGGGAAUAACAUUUGGGUUCCCAAUUAAUGUCAUUUUUGGAGAUAUUUGUAUAAUUGUUUAUAGCAGGUUAGUGGCUAAUAAAUACUUUAAUAAACACAUUCGUUUUUUUUGGGUAAACUAAUAAACACAUACAUGAUGGAACGUGUAGCGACUCAAAUUCAAAUUCAUAAUCAAAUCAUUGAGUUGUAACAACAAGGACGAGGAUAUAUCUCUCUUAUUAUAUGAUGUAAACCCAAGAUGAAGGUUCAAGAAUAAAAAUCUUUUCCAUGAUUCAAUUCAACUUUUCCAACUUUUUUAUUUCAAGAACUAACCUAAAAACACAAAUCAAGAAAUAAAGGAGAAAUUGAAACUUAGUGAAUCAUCCUGGAAGAUGAAAUAGAGAUGAAUGAUCGCUACUUUCAUGAGGAAGAUAAGAUAAAAAAAACAAAAUCGUCACAAGUUAUAUGAAAAGCCCCUUAAAAAAAUUCACAUGAUUCACUUAAGAUUUUAGGUUUGAUUUUCUUUGAUAUCAAUUUCGAUGAACUAAUUUGAAUAUUUUUUUUAAAAAAAAACACAUGAUUCGACCAAGAAUCUUAGGAAGGAUAUUCUCUACAUCACAUGCAAGUAUCAAACCUGUAAAUUUAUCUCCUUUAAUAUAAGAAAAGAACAUGUUGUGGAAAACCUCAAUAUGCCCUUUUCCCUUUUAAUGUAAAAAUCCCAAAUUUAGGGGUAAAUAUGGUCUAUUAUUUUACAUUUCUAAUUGGAUGACAUCACUUAAGGAUAACCGAUGACAUCUAACUGAAACAUAACAGUUGGUUUACUUUAUCUGCAGAUGUAUCUAACUUGCCAUACCAUUGGAACUAAACUAAACUGAACUCAUUACUUUUUAAAGGGAAAUUUGAAAAGUACAUUUUUUGGUUCAAAUAUCCUUUUAAGAGCUAGCAAUCAAUCAACAUACUCUAUGAGCUCACUUUCAACUAUUAUCUUACUUUAACACUACUACCAAACAUUGUCAUUCACGCCCCUCUCUCAUCUUGAAUCUGGUAAACUACUCUUCUAUUUUUUUAGUUGAUUGGUUCUUCCUAAAACAAUGAUACAUGUUCCUAUCUAAAGUUUUUCUAUGACUCAUUUACUUUAUGAUCUAUUUUUUGUUAGGUUUUCUGUUUAUACUCUUUUAUAUGUAUGUUUGCCUUCCAUACUCACAUCUGCUUUUUUUACUCUAUUAUCUGUUUUCAAUUUUUUUUUCUCUUUCAAACAUAUGUUGUGUUUGUUUAAGUUUGCCAAACAUACUGACAAUCUUCUGUUUAUCAAGUAGAUCUGAAAAAUGGAAAGACCAUGCCAGUUUAUUGGUGAUGUCACAGAUAAGUCAGAUUUUUGGAAGUUAACUGUUAGAGUCAAAGACAAGUGGACUGUUGUUAAGGAUGGCAAGGAACAUCUGGAGAUGAUUAUUGUUGAUGCUAAGGUCUUAUUGUUAUCACGAUUUUGGGGUAUCAAGUCAUUAAUUAGGCUUGAACCUUUCAAUCUUUGAUAUUCUCUAUUUUUUCUUGGGAAGGGCAAAAUUGAGAAAACCCUUAGAAAUUCUAAGUUCGGGGGUCGUUUUCGUUACGGGAAGGUGUUAGGCACCCGCAAUGACUAUAGUACUCUAUAGGAGCCGUUUUCUUAGUUUUAUGUCUACGCUUUAUUUUUAAUGCUAUUUAUUAAAAAGAAGUCGAUUAUGUUAAGAAUGGAGGGAGGAAAAUGUUUGAAGUUUUAUUUUAUUGGACUUGGAGAGGUUUUAACCUCAUGCCUACAUACCCUUUUAAGGGAUCAAACUCCAUGUAGUUCUCUUUCAAAAAUGUUUUUUUGCGUGUUUCAAUUGAUUUUAAAUUUUGAAAAAAUGGUUUUGAAAAAAAAAAAGAGGCCUUAAAGGCAUGAGAGAAGAAAAUGGUUAGUGGUUGGUUCAAUUGUUAUUAAAAAGUCUAAGUUGGAAUUAGAAGUUCGUUUGAGUUUGAUUAAGAAAAUAAAAGGUAAAAUUCAAUGGAGUUUUGACUCCAAGGUUUAUUUGGAAAAAAUUUCAAGUGAUGGAAUUUGCUUAUUUUGGAAAAUUGAUAUUUUUUCCUAAGUAUCGCGUUUCCUAAGCAUACAUCUAAAGCGGUAAACAUGCAACGUGUGUGCGUGUCAGUGCUUGUGUCGGUGUACAUCAUUAAAGUCCAUUGUCCGUUACAUUGACCCUAGUUUACAUUCUAUGGUCUUGCAAGAAAUUAAAAGGAAAUUUAAACUACCUAAAAUAUUACAUGACAUUUUAACAUAGAAAUUAAAAGGUAAAAAGAAAGCCUAAACUAUGAGAAAUUGAGAUGAAAAAGGUAAGAUGCUCAUGAGAUGGAUGAAACAUGAAAUGAAAUGGUUAGUAAUAUGAGGCAUAAAAUGGUAAGAAAAAGUAAACAAUAUUGAAUAGGAUAGCAAAAAGAAAAGAGCAAUGAAGUGAAAUAAAAUGGCAAAAUAUACCUAAAAUUUGUUAUAACACUUAGACAUGCACAUGACCCAUAAUUCUCUCACCAUAGCAAUUUUUAAAGAGGUUUGAUUUUAAGCUAUACUGUGAUAAUAACAAGGACACAUUCAAGCCAAGCAUUAUAACACAUUCAUAGAGAUAUUUUACACUUUAUUUCUUGACAAAAACAUACAUUACUUGCAAAACAAGAAAAAAAUGAAAAUUCACAUCCACAAACAGUAAAACACGCAUAUGAUCAGAGACAUAUUCAUCAUGAAAUUGCAUAUUAAUCACUCAUAUCAUGCACCAAGACCAUGAACACAAUGUGACGAAAAAUUCACAAGAAAUUCCAUUAAAAAGUAAAAAAAAAACAUCAAGAACUAUCACAUACAUUUUUUUAUUAGUUUUUCAAUGUGUAAAAGCAUCACAAGAAAUACCAAAAAUGAAUUAAAAACAAUAGGAAUUCUUCUAGAAUUUUUGAGAGAAAAUUUGAGCAAGCAGGGGUUCAAAUAGCAAUACAGCAAGGUGCAAGUAGCAAAAAAUAAAAAAACGCAGAAACAAACAAACUGCAAGCCCAAGCCCAAAACCCAUAAAUCCGGAUGCACAGGGAGCGUUGGAUUGAUCCAGAGAGGGAAACCCUAGAUCCAACGGCCAGGAAUGAAGGGGAUUGGACUGGUCUUGGACCGGUCCGGUUCACUGGCCUAUAAAAACGAGCUCACGCCAGUUUUUUCAUUCUUCUAUGUUCUCUCUCUCUCUAACUCUCACCUAGUGAGAGAAGCUCUCGCCUCUCUCCUCUCUCCCUCCGCCGGUUUCUGAAAGAAACGGCCGGAGAAGAUGAAGACUGGCCGGAACCUUCAUAGGUCCGCCGGAAACUUCAUCUUCUCCGGCGAGAUCUCCAGGUUCCGGUAACCUAAAAUCUCACCAGAAAUUCAAUUUUUUUGCAUCGUUCUUCUCGUCUCUAAACCCUAAACACGAAUCUAACAUUGAUUUUCACAAUCAAGGCUUGAAACAACGUAGAUCUGAAUUUUGUGUUACGGUUUUGAAAAUUACUUUUUAGGUUUUGUAGUUUUUUGAAUGUAACCGUUCAAACUCUUAUGGAUCUACACUGUUUCAUCCUUGUUGAUACUUUUUAAGGCAGAAAGAUUCGGUUUCAGUGUUACCUGAGAUUUUGAUUGGAGACCUUGAACUGGAAUCUUUGGAAAACUUGAAUCUUGGUGCUGUUUGUUGAUUUUUGUGUGAAAACCGAAAAUAAAUCGGUGUUCUUGCUGGUUUGAUUCUUCUUUCUUCUUCACCGGUUCAGAUUCUUGUUUCUUUCCUUCUUCUUCUUCUCCCUCAAACUCUGUGAUCGGUGCUUGAGUUUCUCACCUCCGGUGAGGAAUUCGCACCCUGAAUUGCAGUGGAAUCAAUUCGAUGAUGAAGAUUCACCAAUGAAUCUCUGAGAAUUGAAAAGGAACGAUGAAUCUGUUGAUGAUUUUGAUUCUGGAAAAAAAAUUAGGGUUUUUUGACUUGUUCUUGGUGAUUUUCCGUUUUGAUCCUAACUGAAAGGAGAGAGAAAGAUCUUCUAUGUUUGUGAUGUGGCGUGUGAUCUCUGGGUUUGUGUGGCACUGUGCUCUAUUUAUAAGCUGCCAUGUGUGUUUCUGAACCAAUGAGAGAAGACCACCUGUUUUUGGACUUAGGGACCUUUCUGCAAAAAGAAAAAAAAGAAGGACUGGACAGCAAAUAAGAAAAAGGGCUAAAAAGCAAAUUUAAAAAGUUUUGGACUAAAAUGCAAUUCUGGAAAUUAUUUGAGGGACUAAAAUGCAAUUAAAAAUAAAAUGAAUUAAAAUUGGUAAUUUGACCAAAUGUAAAGUGAAACCUAAAAUAAAAUCAACAAAAGGACUAAAAUGAACCAUCUACAAAAAUGAGGUAUUUUAAAAUACCUCUCUGCCGAAAUUUUGAUGGGAAAAGACCAAAAUGCCCCUAGGGACUAAACUGACUCAAACUGACUCAGAUGCAAUUUUGAAAUGAUUUUUUUAACCAAGACUCAACAAUGAUUUAUAAAACAAGUUGAAAAGACUCAGAGACAAUCACAAGGACUAAAAUGGGUUCCAUUGCAGGAAAUGAUCAAAAAUACCCUUUUUGUAUGAUUUUUUGAAAUAAAAUGCAAGAAAAGUAAUGUGAUGUUUCAGAGAGUUUUCAAAUGACUUGUAAUGCAAGAAAAGACACUUUGAAUAGUUUUAUGCAAGAAAAUCGAGCUUGAACGUACUUUGAGACAGAGACAGUAAAAUAUGCAGAUGAAAAGAGAGUAAAGAUUCAGAGUAAAACAACAGCGAAUUGACAAAUAUCAGUGUUAGAAAAGAAAUUUGAACGAGUAUUUUUAGGUCCAAAAUCAGGGUAUAACACUUAUUAUAUAUUUCCAUUCAUGCUACUAUUUCCUUGCUUCACUAAUUUAUUCACUCUUAAUUUAUUAACAUAUAAUGGUGUGUUUGUUUCCUUCUUAGGGUAGGGACAUACAAGUUGUUAUUCCUACGACAUACAAAGCCACCUAUGACAAAAUCUUAGAAGAAAACGCUACUUACACUUUAUGCAACUUUCAAGUGGUUAGCAAUGAUUUAGUGUUCAAAGCCUCAGAACAUAAGUUUCUUUUGAAAUGGACCGGUGGGACUACUGCUGAAGACAUCAAUGUUCAUGAUGUUCCUCAAUCUGACACCAAAUUCAAGCCGUUUGCUGAAAUUAUAUCUGGAAAAUGGAAACCUGAUAUUUUAGUUAGUGAGUUCAUUGUUGUUUAUAAUAAAUUGUUAUUAUUCAUUUUAUUUUAUUUGUUUGUUUCUAAGAAUCUUGCCCUGUUUUUUUUCUUUCAAGAUGCCAUUGAAGUUGUUCAGAAAAUGGGCUUUUGUCAACUGAACCAAGGUACUGGGAAAAAACUCCAGGUCAACUUUACUAUGAAAGACCUUAGGUGAGGAAUUUUGGUUGUCAACUGACAUUUUCCCUUGAAAACUAUAAAUAUCACAGCUAUUUUAUAAACUUUACUAUGUACAUUAUAAUGGUAGUAACAUAACUACUCUCAUCAUGCAGUGACAUUUCGAUUAACUGCACUUUAUGGGAAGAAUAUGCUGCACAGUUCAUUAAAUAUAACAGUGAAAGGAAAGAAGGUGGAUCCGUGGUUGUGAUGCUGAAGUAUGCCAAGAUCAAGGAAGAAGGUUUUACCCCUACAUCUGUUAGCUAUCACCAUAUGUGUUUCCUACAUGUAGUUCUGAUAUUAUAAUACUAACUUAUAUUGUUCAAACUUAUAACAGGACGCUUCCCACUAAGUGUUUCAAAUACUUAUACUUUCACAAAGUUGUACAUCAAUGAGGACAUUCAUGAGAUUAAUCUUUCAAGGGAAGGUUUGUUAUUGCUAUCAUGACAAUUCUAUAACUAUUUUACAUGAAUGAACAAUAUAUAACUAAUUUUAUUAUGUUUGUAUUAGUUUGCCUCGAGAGGAACAAAAUCAGUCCCAAAGCCAACUUCUGUGUACCCAAUCAUAUGGAUCUUCACAACUUUCUUCGGAGGCAGACCUCCUCUCCAAAAACUUGAUUCUCCCUCUAUCUAACAUGAAGUUUUUGGUUUAUAUGGCAUGGCACAAGUAAAUAUACUUUGAUUUAGCUCAUCCAUUGUACUCUAUCAUCGUAUUAUAUAAUAUAGUGCAUCAAACUAUUCUAUAUUAUUAUAUAAUAUAGUUAAAAGUUUCAUUCACCAUAUAUAUCAUAAAUACUUAACAUAUUAUAUACUACAACAUUAUUAUCUCCAACAAAUAUUUAUCAUCAUGGAUGUUGUUCAACUAAUGAUCCAAAAAGGACCACUGGAACAUUUCUCAGCAAUAAAAUUAUCAUUCCAGAUUCCAACUUUUACUUAUAUAUAACUUAAGUUUUAUUAUAAUUGCUAAUCAUCUUUUGUCACAAGUUCCUUCUAUAUCUUAUAUACAUUCUUCAAUUUUUUAAAUGGAAGUCGACCCAAUGUUUGUUGAAAAAUUUUCAGCUGAUUUCAUAGAUAAAUGGAACAUUAUACUUGAAGAUGGAUCGACAUUGGUGCUACAGCUGAACAAAAACUACUAUAAUCCUACUUUAAUAAGUGGUUGGAGUGACAUAAAAAAUUUAUAUAGUUUUCCGAAUAACGUUGAAGUUACAUUUGCUUAUUAUGGGAUGAAUAUUUUCAAAGUCACAAUGUUCAAUGAAGUAACAUGUACAUCUCAAAUCCCUAUAUUCCAUAGUCGAAGUACAAAAGCAAAUGAAACAAAGUGUUUUGAUAUAAGAUUAUUUGGAAAUGACUUGAAGAGAAACAAUUUGGUUGGUAUCAUAUAAUUCUUCUAUAUCUACUACCAUUAUUUUAUUCAAUUAAUUAAGUUUUUCAUUUUAUUUAAUUAUGCAGCAAUUACCAAACGAUUUCGCAUCAUUCCUACAUCAAAACGUAUGUGACAGCCUAAUUCUAUGUGGAGACAAUGGAGAUAAUCAAUCUUUCAAUAUCUUUUUCAACCAUGAUGAUAAUAUAACUACAAGAUUAGGGCCUUUGUGGAACAAAUUCUGUCAAACAAAUUUAUUUCAAUCAGGAUGCAGAAUUAGAUUUAAAUUUUCAAUCAUCAAUAGUUAUUAUUGUCAUGUUUUUCGUAUUUAAUAGUUUUUAAUGUAAUUUAUUUUUCCUUCAAUUAUAUCUACUGUUGUAUUAUCUAUCAUGCUUAUUUAUAUUUUACAACUUAGUACUAUAUUCUUAUAAUAUCUAUAUAAAAUUUAGUAAAUAAUCUGGUAAUUAACAUUUAGUAAAUCACAUAUGCAUCUAAUUUUAAUUGAUAAUACUAUAAAUACACCCGUGCGUUAGCACGUGUAUUUUUACUAGUUAUCAUAAAAAACUAACUGCAAGACUGUCUAAAAAAUAUAGGCUAAAAUAUGGUUUUGAUCCCUGCAAAUAUGUCUCGUUUUGGUUUUAGUCCCUGCAAUUUUUUUUUUGUUGUUUUUGGUCCCUGCCAAAUAUUUUGUUUUUGGAAAUAGUCCCUGCAGGGACUAUUUCCAAAAACAAAAUAUUUUAGGGACUAUUUCCAAAAACAAAAUAUUUUGCAGGGACCUUUUUCAAAAUCAAAAGAUUUUGCAUGGACUAUUUCUCUAAUAAAUGGUUAAGUCAUCAUGUGACACGUGUGCAAAUUAUCACAAAAGUGGAGUCAGGGACCAAAACCAAAAUGAGACAUAUUUGCAGGGACCAAAAACAACAAAUUUUUUUUGCAGGGACUAAAACCAAAACGAGCCAUAUUUGCAGGGACCAAAACCAUAUUUUAGCCAAAAAUAUAUUUAUGUGUGCAAGCCGACUAUUGGUUUUUGUUUUCCCUCGUUUAGCUUUCCGUCAACUUUGGGAAAUUCUUCACUUCCACUCUUUUUAUUUUUUUUAGACUUAAAUAUGUAAUCCGUUACGGUAAUUUAAACGCAUUUUGAUUUUCGUUCUUGUAAAAAUAAAUAAAUUAAAACAUCCCUAUAAUUUUUUUUUUUGUUUUUAAAAAGGUCCCUGACCCCACUAUUCAGUUGAAGGGGCAUGCCGCAAAAUUAAUUUUUGUUUAUUUUUUUUAAAAUUCUAAAAAUUCAUUUUUUAAAUUAAAAAAUUGGGAAAAUAAUAUUAAAAUCCUUAAAAUAAAAUAAAAAAUUGGAAAAUAAAAACUGAAAAUUAAAUUUUUUGAUUUUUAAUUAAUUUUUUUUUUCUUCAAAAUUCUGAAAAUUCAUUUUCUUUAAAUUUAAAAAAAUAAAAAAAAACUGAAAAUUAAAUUUUCGAAAAUUCAUUUUUUUUUAAUUCUGAAAAUUAAAUUAUAUUUUCAAAAGUUAUAAAUUUUGAGAUUAUAUAAUUUUUAAUUUUAUUUUUCAAAAAUUUAUUUCUAGAUUUUAAAAACACUAUUUUCCAAUUUUUUUAUUCAUAUUUCAAAAAAAAAAUUGAAUUUUUUUUAUGAUUUUUUAAUUUUUAAUUUUUUUUCCAAGAACGAAAAUUAAAACGCGUCCAAAUUACAGGGACGGAUUGCAUAUUUAAGCUUUUUUUUCUCAUUUUUCUAUCCAUCUUUUAAGUUUAAGAGCAUUUUGGCUCUUGCACACUUCUUGUGAACUAAGAAGGGAAAGAACAAUUUUGUGUGUGUUGUGAACAAAAUUGAAUUUGUUAGUGAAGCGUCAUGGUGGACUUCCCUAUCCUAGUUAUAUUAAGAUUUAGUUUUGUAACUAGUUUUGUACCGGCUACAUUAGUGCAACCACAUCACAAUCAUUAUACAAAAAUUUCUUUGAACUAGACACCUACGGUAAAAGAUAUUCUCUCUUCGUGAGGAGUCCUCAUUAUUCAUGUGAACUCCCAACAAUCUCGUCACCAUAAGCAAAUAACCUUGAAUAUGUGGUUCCUCACUUCCCUGUUUACUCUCACUAGGAUACUAGAAAUUAACCCAAAAAGAAAUGAUGAUAGUGUGUGAAUUAGCAAUCAUGAAUUGCACAAACAGAAUUCAAUUUAGUGAGUACAAUCAACACGAAAUCUAGAACUACAAUCAUGAAAUUGAGGAAACAAUUUGUAUUUUAUUUUUUCAAACAAAUUUAUUAUUAUAACAAUUUUUGUUUUUGAGGGUUCUAACAACUUUUCUUAAAACCCGUGAUAUUUGUAAAAUGGUUUUAUAAAAAGGGAUGGAGGGUGUACUUACAGUGAGUACAAUAUCUAAAACUAGAGUUUAUAAUUGUUUAGGUCAUGCCUUGAGAAUGCUCUCAAGAGGGGUAUUUGUAGCCUUCUUUAAACUUGCAUUUCCGUGACUUAGACCCCAAGUAACUUGGGCCUUCAGUCAUGCUCGUAGCGCUUUAGAUUGUAAGGGUGCGUCUAAGGUUAUUGUGGUCUUUAUGGAAUUCCAAUAUUGACAGUCGAGAGAGAGUACUCAAGAUUCAUGUUCACUAUUUCAUAUGAUCACAACAUAUAGUCACUUAGUAUAACACAUUUCAAGGAUCACCCAUUCACGACUCAUAUAAGGAUAGAUCACAGCAUAUAGUCACUUAGUAUAACACACAUUUCAAGGAUCACCCAUUCCCGACUCAUAAGGAUAUAAUCACAUAACCACAUCUUGAUAAAUUAUAUCACACAGUCAUUCUACAUAAAUUCAUCAAGCAAUCAUGUUAUCAUAACAUCUUAACCCAAACUAGACUUCUAGGUAGGGUUGGACAGAAUAUCCGUACCCACCCGAAAAUCGGCCAAACCGGUGAAACCGUGAACAUUCGGGUCGGGCGUAUAUGAACUGCAGGUUGGUGAUUCAUGCUUUUUUGGUUUUAUACAGUUAUGAACGGUCGGAUUCGGAUUGCAAAAAUCAAUCCAUCUGUACCCAGCAACCGACCGAUUUUAUGCCAAGAAUGAUAAAAAUUAACACUUUUACAAUGUGAAAGCUGGCUUGCAUAGGGAAGACGUGUUGUCUCUCUCUCAAUUGUCUUGGAACUCUCAAAAACUAUUCAAUUUCAAGGCAUUAAUUUAUGUCUAUUUUUAAUAUUUUAUAUUUUCAAAUCACUACUUUAUGACCAUAGUCAUUGCACAUCAGCAUACACACAUCAUAUCUCCUGCUGGAACUACUAGUACACCACAAUUCCUUCGGAACGAGAGCUUUUCCUCAAUCAGCUCCACAAAUCUCAAAUAUUUCAUCUUCUAUUUCUUCCUUUAUUAUCAACACAGACAACACAAUCCUUUUCAUUUUUCACAUGUAAUAAGUUGUGAACACCCACCAACACUGUUAUUAUGUUUUUUUUUUUUUUUUUUGUAAUUUUUGUACCAGAUUUUGUUUAAUCGAAUACCGACGGAGUCCGGCCGACCACCUGCUAAAACCGUUGAACCGCCGACUGUCGAAACCGUGGGCUCAAACGGACGGAAACGGACUGUAAUAUUCACACCGUCGGUUUGAUCGGUUCCGAAUUUUGAGACCGAAAACCGCACCGAAACGAACCGCCCGUUGUCCAGGCCUACUUCUAGGCACAUAUGACCAUAUUAUUCACAUUUUUUAACUAUAAGUCACACACAACAUGUCUUCAUUCUGGGUGUCCUUAUGUUGCACCAUUCUUUUUACCGUGCCUACAAAAUUACUAAAUUUUGUUUUUCGUUCUCAUAAAAAAAUGGCAUGUUUGUGUCUAAAAAUGAGCAACAUAAGGACACUCAUAAUGAAGAAUAUAUACCUAAUUUUCAACACACGCUUUUAGUUCAUAUUAAAUUAAAAUUUGUUUAAUUAUCCUUAAACUUUGAAAUUCAUAAAUGACACUUUUGUAGACAAAUUUAAAACAUAAUAAAAACUCUACCGCAAAAGCUAGACUCGAAAUUUUUAGGGGAAUAUUUUUAUUAUUCUUAACUUGAACUUUUGAAAUUUUAAAAAAUCCAUGUUUAUUUUAACAAAUCCAAAUUUCACAACUUGACCUUAAUUCGACUCUAACAAUUUGACGAAUUUAGGGUAUGUUUGGAACUGCAGAAACAAUAAGGAAAGAAAGCAAAGAGGAAACAAAGGUUGUUGAAAAACAUUUUUUCCCUUGCAUGGUUGCAUUGUCAGAGUGGAAAGAAAGUUUAAUUAUGAUGGAGCCCACGUGUUAAAACUUUCCGCUCAAAUCAGCGAAGAAAGCUUGGCAUGGGUUCCAAAAUUGUAAAAUUACAAUACUGCUGUUAUUUGAAUAAAAAAAUUCCAAUGGCAUGUACUUUCUUUUUUCUCACCUGUGACUGUGACUUUGGUGGCAUUCAUCAUUUAUUACUAUUAUACAUAUAUACACCCAUCCAUUAACAUUUUUUCUUAUAAGUUAACGGUUAAUAAAAUAAUUCCCAUAUAAUAUUAUGCUACCGUUAAUUUAUUAUUUGUUUUUUUUAUUAAUAUAUGUUAGUACAAUAUCAAUUUUUAAUAUAAGGAUAUUUAUGUCAUUUUAAUAAACAUAGAUCUAUCUUUCCUUUAUCUUUCUUUCCUCUUUCUUUCAUACCAAACGGUCAAAUAAUCAUCUCACUUUUCAUUCACUUUCUACUCACUUUUAUUCCUUCAACUAUCUUUCCAUUUACAAUAUUUCCUUUCACUUUCUUUGAUCUUCCAAACAAACCUUUAAUAUACUAGCCUUGAAAUCAUGCAAUAUGACUUGUGAAUUAAAUAUAUAUGUUCCUCAUGUUUAAUCAAUUCAUGCUCAUAUUCAAAGUUGAUGAUAUCUCCCAACUAGUUUAAAUUUUUUCACAUUUGAUUUGACGUACAAAGUCACAAGUAUUAGUACCAAUAAUGUCCCAUGUAUUUUGGUUAAAACAAGCAGGAUAAUCAUGCGACCCUUAAGCCUUCCACAUACUUUCAAUAUUUUUUUCAAUUCAUCUGAACGUUCAAUAGUUAAAACAAAUCUCUAUCAACAUAGGUAUUGAAGAAGAUCACUAGAUAUUAUGAAUUGACCAUAUUUAUGACAAGAUCGUUGUCUUCCACCCAAAUCCCAUAAGCAUCGUCACAACCAUUUAGGUCUUAAUUUGAUAAUCCACUUUGAAGCUUCUUUUCUAAAUGAGUUAUUGUGAGUUAAUUUCUUUAAAAACGAAAACGACUUUCUACUUAAACAACGGAAACUUAAAUUAAAGGAUCAAGGCAUACCUCCAACCAUUGUUCCUGUUUGAAGAUGGUGAGGCUCUUCUCAUUAGGGAACCAACAUCUACUUCUACUUUUGCCAUCAAGAAGUUAUAGUAUAUGCAACACUUACUCCUCAUUCCAAAUGGGACAGUGGGCAGUUACUAUACUAUAAUUGAGGGAAAGAAUAAAAGACAACUUUAUGCUUAAGAGCAUCCACAUUGGUAGGGUCUUUACAAUUUAAGACACGGUACCUAAUAUGUACUCCCAUUGUGAUAAAAAAAAUUGGGGGUCUCUUAAGACCCGGGGUCUCACUUAAGACCCCAAUCUUAAGUGAACCCCACACCACUUUUCAAUAAAAUAAUCAUUAUUUGAGUUGUUUUUGUUAUCGAUGGGACCCAUUUAUAUCUUUUGAUAUAGGAUCAACAUUGGAGUGGUUGAGUACCUAUUAGGUACCAUUAUUAAAAAAUAAUAAAAAAUGAUGUGUUAAUGUGAGACCCGUUUAUGACAUCAAAUAUGAGGAUCUCCAUUGUGGAUGCUCUAAAGAUGCUUAAUGAGUAAUUGCCAUAAUGAGCCCCGAUAGUAUUGACGAAAAGAAAAUAAAUUGGGAUAACGCAUAACAAACGAUGUUGAAGUGAAGGGAUUACGUUACUAACCUGUAACAAUAAGAUUAGUAAAAUUGUUACUAACCGGUAACAAUAAAAUUAGCAAAAUUGUUACUAUCCAUUCCAUUAACAAUAGGAAUGUAGUUUUAAAGUAGUUUGUUAUGCUAAGAGUAGUAAUAGAGAGAAUAAUAAGUGUUUUGUGAAUAAAAUUUGGAGUUUGAUGCUGACCCCAAAAAGUGCAAGUACAAUUUACUUUAUCGUAUCAAUUUGUGCUUUUAUUGAGAUUUUGACACUGACUCAAAGAAUGCAAUUUACUUUUAUCGUAUCAAGCCCUUAAUGAUAAUUACCACUUGUUUAAAUAAAUAAAUAAAAAUGGGAAAAAUUCAACAAACCUAACGUGCAUUUUUCCUUCAAGCGAAUUGCAUUGAACCGAGCUUCUAAAUUCUUCUUCUGAUGAAUAAUGGACUCGAAUGUAUAAUGCUUCAAGAUCGUGAUAUUCUGGAGAGUAGCCAAGUUUUGGUUCAUAUAAGCAUUUUUAUUCUAACUCCUUUGUAUCAUUUCAUUGUAUAUGAAUUAUUCCUGAGCCAUACGCUAAUUCUAUGAUAAAUUAAAAAUGUUUUGUGAAGCUACGCUAUUUUUCUAAUUUCGGAAGAACCUAAACAAAUGCUUUUGAGUAGGGUAAUAUCCACUUCCUAUAACAAAAAGUUUUGUUAAGCCUUUCAAAAGUUAAUUCUAUCACUUCUCUCAACAAAAAAAAAAAAAACAAAAAAAAAGGUUAAUUCUAUCACAAAAAUUAUUACAUUUUAUAGUCAAAGGUGGAUCACCAACCUAUAUUUCCUAUGGGAGAUAUGAUAUCAACGAAAUUACUUGCUAGAAUUGUGACUCUCCUUGAAUUUAUCUCUAAUGCCUAUAAGAUCACUAUACUCAACAAUUAUCUUCAUUAGGACUAUAAUAGAUAGGACAUUAGGACUAAAUAAUCAAACCUCACCAUUAGUCAUCUCAAUUCUAAAAUUGAUGAAUUGUAUUUUUUUUUAUAAGGGUAGUAAUACUUGCCAUGUCAAAGCUUCCAUGCAAUUUAGUGAGAAAUUCAAACUAAAAUCCACGAACAAAAAACUACAUCACUCCCAAAUUAUACUAGUUUCUGAGAGAGUGUGAAUAAGAAGGGAAAGGAGGAAAAUAUCUGAAAGAGAAAGCCCAUAACGAAGAUUCUCUUUUAAAAAAAGCCCAUAACAAAUGCAGUUAACCCUGGUAAUAUUCUGACACAACAGUAACCGCAGUUAACACCUCGGAAAAAGGAUCAAAAAUAUCUUCGUGCAUCAUUUACAAUCUUAACCCCACCAAUUAACCCAUUCCCAUCUAUAUAUAACUCCACCUUCUUCAGUACAAAAUCACAAAAUAUCUUAUCUUCUAAUCUUUUUACUGUAAAAUCUAGGGUUUUAGUUUUUUCCAUCAAUGGCUUCUGCAGAUGUUGAAUACCGUUGCUUCGUCGGAGGUCUUGCAUGGGCCACCGAUAGCGAAGCUCUCGAGAAAGCCUUCUCUCAAUAUGGAGAAAUCAUCGAUUCGAAGGUCUGUUUGUUGCUUACAGGCUUCGGAUCGGAUCUGACACGAUUUUGAUUCGGAUUUCUCAUGAAACCUUUCUGAUCUGUGAUCUCCGAUCUGUUCUGUUCUGUUCUGUGUUACUUGAUCUCUAUUAUUCUGUUACUGUUACUGGGAUUGAUUCUGUUACUAUAUGAUAUAUUGUUACUCACCUUAAUAGGUACGUUCAUCUUCAUCUUUUAACCAAAAGAAGAAGAUCGAUCGGUUACUAUAUGGUUUUUUGUUUUUUUUACUGUGUUAAAAGUUUUAGAUCUGAUUUUGUGUUUUUUAUUUUUGUGCAGAUUAUCAAUGAUCGUGAAAC
rnacentral:lncRNA from 1 species